rnacentral:lncRNA from 1 species
UGUUUUCCCUCCCAGAGUUGUUCAAGAUGGCUCUUCCUCAUAUCAAGUUCAACUAGGUACCCUAGAUCAAACUUGGUGGGCAAAGAUCUCAAAGGGUAUCCCUCCCAGUAAAGGUACCUUAGCUCCUCAGGAAGUGAUAAAAGCCCAUUAAAAAGUAAGAUUCUUCCAUAAGAAUGAUAGAAUUUGAGAAAUCUUAGCUUUCGCAUCUUCAUCAUGGCUGUCGGUUCCAAUUCCAACUUUGCAAGUUGGGACAUAUCAAGUUCAAUGCCUCUGAGCAUUUCCGUUCCCUAAACCCAGGAGCAGUAUAUGGAGUCAAGAUAUAGGCAAAACAUGAACUCAAGAUAAUUAUCAUAUACAUAUAUGUAUUUUAUACAAAUAAGUGAAGGAAAUGAACAGGGCCCUUACAUUGUUUUCUGAUAGCACAUUAUAGCUGUCCUCAGGAAUCCACAACCUACUGCGUUUUUCAAGUUUUAAAGGUGAUUCAUCGCGUACAAUAUUCAAACCCAUCUGUUGCAAUAAAUCAUGCAUUGCUAUCUGAUUUUGUGAAACAGAUAUAAGAGAUUUAUCAAUGAGAUUCUCAAUUCCCGAAUGUGCAGAGUCAUAACAAGCAUCCAUAAUCCUUGUUACGUAGUCUCGAUGCUUCCCUUUAAAGAAACAAGCAAUGUCAAGAAACAUUUCUUUCUCUUCACAAUCUAGUCCAUCAAAACUCCAUUUCAACACUUCUUGAAUGUCCUGCUUAGGAACUUUAUUUAAUUUCUUUACUUCACUUUCCUGGUAGCUUUUGGUCUUGCCGUAAAGAGAGGAUCCGAUAAGUCUAAUAGCUAAAGGGUUUCCCUUAGCAACACUUAAAGCCAUCUUUGAUAGCUUCAACUGAUAUUCUGUAGGAUUAGUACUUUUGAAAGCACAUUGACAGAAGAGCUGAACAGAUUCAUCUUUAUCUAACUCCUUCAUAUCAUAAAUGAGAUCAAUGCCACACUGGACAAGCACUUGUUUAUUUCUAGUGGUAACAAUGACUCGACUUCCAGGACCGAUCCGAUCGAUUCCUCCGAAUAAAAACUCGAUUUGGCUUAACUUUGACACAUCAUCACAAACUAUCAGAACCUUCUUCUUGGAAAGCCUGUCCUUAAGAAAGCCUGAUCCGAUUGUGGGAGUUGAGAUGUAUAAAUUUUCAUCUUCUAAUAUAGUUGAAAGAAAUUCGUUACGCAAUUUUAGUAAUUCUCUUUGUUCUUCAUGUUCUCUCACGUUUGCAAGAAAGCAGCAUCUUUGGAAACCAUUUGAAACAUGGUGAUAAAUGGCGUCGGCAAGUGUAGUUUUGCCUAUACCUCCCAUACCCCAAAUGCCUAGCAUUCGAAAAUCUGGGAAUCCGUCUUGAAAUAAUGACAAAACUUCCUGCAUCCGCCUUUCAAUUCCAACUAAACCCUUUAAAUUAGCGCUUGAGCUUCCACAAUUCAAUUUCUUCACUACAUCUUCGACAAUUUUAUCUACCAGAGUUGAGUCAGGCCUAUAUAUUAAAAGAAGAAACAAAUUACAGGAGAAAUAAAAAGGAAAGAGAAGUAAAUAAAUAAAAAUGAUAAAGUGAAUCCAAGUUGAACUCAAUUGAUUCAUGGGGUCACUUUUAAAAAGAAGACAUUCAAAACAGAUGUAGAAUUCAAAUUUCACUAUCUACAUCCCUGUUUAAAUCCUCAAAUUAUAACUUUUUUCUUUGAAAAUAAAUAUAUCAAUAGAUUUUAUACAUGAAAGAAUGGUAUGAAGGUGUCAUGAACUUUGAGUUAAAGAAAGGCAGGAUAGAAAACGCAACAAACAAUAACAUUGUUCAAGAACAGAUUCUUCUUAUUUCUUCCCUAUGCCUGCAAAAUUAUGGCCCUUCAAUAUAUGACAAAAAAAAAAAAAGGGAAAAGUUAAGUCUUUCAUAUCAAGUAUCUGCCCCUCAACUCGAAUCUGGGUAGCAUAAAUGAAUCCCUGCUUGAAACAAAAGUCUGUUUAAUCUCUCCUCUUCCAAAUCAAUACAUGCAUAUAUUUAAAAGAGGAUUGAAUGUAAAGAAAAGGAGUUGCAAUUACCGAGUGACUUGUGAAUCCCAACCGGAUAAUUUGCCAGCUGCAGUCAAAGCACUUCUCCAGGUUUUCACCUUUCCUGACUCAUGCUUGAAAUUUUCUUCAUGCUUUGCAAAUGCAUCUGCAAAACUCCCUGUUUGGUUCCGUAGGUCUCUUGGGUCUACACCGUAAAAUACAGGAACAACCCAUUUGUUGCAGUCCAUGAUCUUGACCAGCUCAGCCAAGCACCAUUUGGAAGAAGCGUAGUCUUUGGAGAAAACAAUGACUGAAACCCUGGAUGCUUGAAUGGCCUUCAACAGUGCCCCUGAAAUUUCAUCUCCUUUUCGAAGCUCCUCAUCGUCUAUAAAAGUUUCGAUAUUCUUUCGACACAAAUCUUUAUACAGAUGACUCACGAAACCAUCACGAGUAUCCUUGCCUCUGAAGCUAAGGAAAACAUCGAAUGUCCUUGCCUUGAUCGUAUCAGCAGCAGCAGAAGAUUGAGAGGAAAACAUAUUUGGGUUGAGCCAGAUUUGAUGAAAGAUUAUUGGAAUAUGAGUAAAUGAACAGUUUUUAAUGUCAAUUACGCUGAUAUCUUUCUUAGAAAUUAAUCAUAUUUCUUUAGUUUGGCGUGAGGAACAUGGACAUUAAAAAAAAGAAAAAAGAAGGAAUCUUUAAGACCGCCGAAAGUUUUGUCGGCAGCAUAAAAGAGUAGUGACUAGUUGAAGAUAGUACCAUAUUUGAUUAAACAAUUUUAAAAUUAUAUAUUAAAUACGUUUUAGUGUGUCAAAAAAGUUAGAAUUGAUAAUAUUGAUGUAUUGUUUUUAUAAAAAAAAUCAUUUUUUUGGUUAAUAAAUAAAAUAAAUAAUCAAAUCUGGAAGCACUUAUAAUUAUUAAAUAUCAGUCAUGUAAAUGGUUUGUGAGAACAUAAAGAAAUAAUAAAUUGUUUGGUAGUACAAGUGUUUUAUUUUGUUUGGUAAAAGUGCUGAACAAAUAAUAAUGACGUAUUGUUUUAUAAAUAUCAUUUAUGUUUAUAAAAAAAUUAAAAAUAUAUCUGGAAUGUAAAAAUUACAGUUCCAUUGAUAGUAGACCUGUCCAUGGGCCGGGCGGCUCGGCCCGGCCCGAUGGCCCGCUCAAAAUAUGGGAGGGUUUGGGUAAAAAUAUAGGCCCGAAAUAUGGGCUUGGGCAAAAUUUUAGGCCCGUUUAAAAAAUGGGCCAGGCCUCGGGCAAGAUUUUUUUGGUCCAGGCCCGGCCCGGCCCGAAAAGUAUUAAAUAUAUAUUUUUUAUUUUUAAAAUAAAAUAAUUUUUUAUUUUAAUUUUAUUUACUUUCAUUUCCUUGACUGUGUUACAAAAUAAUAAUAAUAAAACAUCAAGUUUGUUUUACUAAUCAAAUGUUAGAUUUUGUUACAACAAUUAAUACAACUAAUACAAUUAAUAAUUUGAUAAAUUUACUAAUAAAAUGUUAGAUUUUAUUACAACAAUUAAUACAAUUAACAAUUAAUAAUUUGAUAAUUUUACUAACAAUUAAUUUUAAUAACAAUUAGUUUUAAUUUUAUUAAAAAAAUAAUUUUAAUUUUAAUUUUAAUUAAAAACGGGCCGGGCCGGGCCCCAAAUUUUUUCUUCGGGCCGGGCCUGGGCAAAAUCUCAGGCCCGUAUUUCGGGCCGGGCCCGGGCCAAGUAAACGGGCUGAAAUUUUUUGUGAGCCCGGCCUGGCCCAUGGACAGGUCUAAUUGAUAGUUUUUAUCUCUAAUAUUAUGUUGGAGCGAAAUUCUAGUGAUUUCAUCUGAUCAUAAUAGCAGGAUUUACAUGGACUACAACAUCUAUAUAUUGAGAACGUACGUGUUUUACAUUAUUAAGUAUGGGAUUUAGAUUUCAAACUCUAGUGAUUUGGAACGAAGCUUCUCGCUGUGAUCUAUAUAAAAGUUUCCAUAUUCUUUCGACACAAAUCUUUAUACAGAUGACUUACGAAACCAUCACGAGUAUCCUCGCCUUGAAGCUAAGGAAAACAUCGUAUGUUCUUGCCUUGAUCAUAUCAGCAGCAGCAGCAGCAGAAGAAGAAGAUGUUGAAGGAAGCAUAUUGCUGUCCCGCCGGAUCUGAUGAAAGAUUAUUGGAUUAUGAGUAAAGCUAUUGUUUAUUACCGAGUGAGUUGUGAAUCCCAACCGGAUAAAGUGGCAACAGUUGUCAAAGCACUUCUCCAGGACUUCACCCUUUCAACAUCAUGCUUUAAAUUUUCUUCAUGCUUUGCAAAUGCAUCUGCAAAACUACCUGUUUGUUUCCGUUCAUCCGAGGUGUUGGAUAUUUGACGAAGGAAAGAUUGAAACAGAAGCAAAAAGUGUUAAGAUAUCUUUACAGCUACUAUUUCAUUAAAAACUGAUUGACUGUUUACAGGGAUAAGAAAGCUUAAAUAAGCUUAAAAACUGAUUGACUGUUUACAGGGAUAAGAAAGCUUAAAUAAGCUUAAAAAUAAUAAUAAAAUAAUUACAGUUUGACUUAAUUUAGUUAAUUUUCUUUUUUCAUUUUAACCAAUUGUCAAAAUUUCUAAUCAAAAAGUUAUUAUUGUUUCAGUACAAGUUGACAAUUUACAGAAUGAAGAGCUCACAGGUGAGAUCUCAAGCUUGAUGAGCUCGUAGUUCACAUGAAUGGUUGUUUCAUAAUACGAGGAUUUACAUCGUAAAAUACAGGAAAAUCAAAGUUGUGCCCAUUCAACUUCUUGCAGUCCAUAAUCUUGACCAGCUCGUCCAAACACCAUCUAGAAGAAGCGUAGUGUUUGGAGAAACAAUUACUGAAACCCUCGCUCCUUCAAUGGCAGUCAAUAGUGCCCCAGAAAUCUCAUCUCCUCUUCCAACUUUCUCAUUGUCUUUAAAAGUAUGGAUAUUCUUUCGAUUCAAAUAAUUGUAGAGAUGACUUACAAAACUAUCACGAGUCUCCUCACCUCUAAAGCUCAGAAAAACAUCGUACAUCCUCGAAGACAACAUACUGGUUUUCUGCCGGAUUUGAUUAUUCAAUCACGAGUAAAGAGCAUUUGAGUUUUAAGCAAUUACGCAUUCAUUUGGUUAUAUUUUAGAAACUUACGCCCAUACUACUACUUCACAGUUCACACUCUACAUCAACUGCAAAAGUGUGUAGAACCAUGCACGUUGAAAAUAAUGGUAUGAUUUCACUGUAAGCGUGUGGGACAAUGCACAUUGAAAAUAAUUGUACCUCUAUUUCUCUGGUUCCUAUUUGAACAACUUCAUUUGCAGUCUUUUGCUUUAUGUCCAUAUUUCUUUCUAACUCAAUAUAUGUCUAAGGUUUUUUCUCUUCUAUUUCACACACAAAAUAUUUGAAAUCUCCUUCUUUAUACUUGUUUAAACCCAGAUUCGAUAUCUGUAUGUGUAUAUACUUUAGUGAUUAACUUUUUAAAACUUUCUCAAUCUCCUUCUUUAUACUUGUUUAAAUCUAAAUUUAUACUUGUUUAAACCCAGAUUCGAUAUCUGUGUAUAUACUUUAGUGAUUAACUUUUUAAAACUUUCUCAAUCACCUAAAUUAAAUUUCAAAAAUAUUAAAAACAUACAUUCGGGCCGGGGAAAAUAUUUGUUUUUAAACAUGUACCAUUUUUUGGUAAACCAACUAUUUUUUCUCUAAUGAAAAAAAAAAGCUUCAACAGUAGUUUUAGUGUGUUUUUGUUAUAAAUAAUCAAGUAAAAGCAAUAUAUACCCCAUGAUUACCAUUUCACUGGUGGCAACUAUAUAAUCAUAUGCAGCAUGUAUACAAACAUAUAAAUCUUAAUUUAUACAGAUGACUUACGAAACAAUCACGAGUAUCCUCGCCUCUGAAGCUAAGGAAAACAUCGUAUGUCCUUUCUUCGUUCGUAUCGGCAGCAGCAGAAGAUGUUAAAGCAAGCAUAUUGGAUAUUUGAUGAAAGAUGAUUGGAUUAUGAGUAAAGCUAUUGUUUUUGAAGUGAAUUAGCCUUGCAUUUGCCUCUCUCUUAGGAACUUAUAGGCAGAGUACUACUUUACACUCUACAUCCACUGCUAAAGCGUGUGGGACCAUAGACUUUGAAAAUUCCUUCUUUUAUACAAUUUUUUAAAAUUUUAUAUUAUUUUUUUAUUUCAAAAGAUAUUUAAAAUUAUAAUUAACUAAAAAUAAAUUUAGUAGAAAAAAACUUAAAAAAUUAAAUGAAACAGAAAGAGUUUAAUGAUUUAUUUGAUCCUCAAAUUUAAUAAAAAAAGUUAUUUUAACUCCCUAUUUAUUUUUUUGUCUCUUUUAUCUCUUAAACUUGUAAUGUUUAUCAAAUUACCCAAAAAAUAGAUGGAAAACUUAACAUUUAUUAACUAUGUUGAUGUAAUAUACACACAGAUUAUUACAUGGAUGUCAUAUUAGCAAUUAACCAAAAUUUAAAAAAUCAAAAAAAUAAUAAAAAAUAUUUCUAAAAUUGUAACCUUCCUAACCCGACUUAGACAUUAUGGUCAAAUUCUUAAGGCUACACUAACCACCGAAAUGACUUAGUAAAACUAUUGAAGUUAAUAAAAUACUAUUUACCUUUGAAGUAAAACUUAACAUCAUAUCUCUUGUUCACAAAACUACUUAAGAGUUUCGAAAACAAAAUGAUUUUAAUGUUUAUUUAGUAAAAGUUGAUUUCCACUUUAUUUACUUCUCAAAAUCUCAUUUACAGAAUUUUAAUGAAAAAUCAUAUUUUUAUGCGUAAUUAAAUCAAAAUCCAUGUAUCCAUAGUAGACCUGUCCAUGGGCCGGGCGGCCCGGCCCGGCCCGACGGCCCGCCCGAAAUAUGGGAGAGUUCGGGUAAAAAUAUAGGCCCGGAAUAUGGGCUUGGGCAAAAAAAUGAGGCCUGUUUAAAAAAUGGGCCGGGCUCGGGCUCAACUUUUUUGGCCCGGCCCGGCCCGAAUAUAAUAAAUAUUUUUUAUUUUAUUUUUAAUUUAAAAUAAUUUAAAAUAUUUUUAUUUUUAAAAUAUUUUUUGUGUUUAUUAAAAACCGGGCCGGGCUAGGGCUUAUUAUUUUUUCCCUGGGCCGGGCCUGGGCAAAAUUUCAGGCCGGGUCGGGCCCGGGCCUAAGAGUCAGGCCGAAAUUUUUUUCCGAGCCCGGCCUGAACCCGGCCCAGCCCGGCCCAUGGACAGGUCUAAUCCAUAGCCUAUAAUCAAUUUAAAUGUCAUGGAUGCAAAAAAAUUAACCCAAACUUAAGUCUUAUACCACAAUUUAAAUGAAACAAUAUAGAUCCCAAAUAACAAAAAUUAUAAAUAUUUCAUUUAAAGUAUUUUUAAUGAACAUAAUCCUAGCUGAGACCUUCCAGUGCCGAGUUCAUGUCCUAACCUUGCAGGUUAAUACUUAAGAUGCAAUUAGUAAGACAUAAGUGGUAGUAACAGUAACAAUUUAUCAGAAUUAUAGUGACAAUAGGCAUGUAUUAUUCAUGUAUCAUACAUUGUAUCUAUACAAUUCAGUCAAUCAUAUUGCAGAUUUCAAAAUACACAUAAUAUCAUGGAGUUAAUUAAGUGAAAAAAAAAAACUCUAAAAAUAAAUUAGGGACUAUGCAAUGACUAAAUUGAAUAAUCUCAAAAUUUUGGGCAAAAUUAUGAAACAGGGGUCAUACGGCCUUGUAACCAAGCCGUGUGACAGUCUAAUGAUGUGUGAAUGGGGUACACGAUCGUGUAAUAGCUUGAGGUCGUGUGAAAAAUGAUAAAAUACCCUAUAGUAAGGACACAGUCGUGUGACAGGUCAUGUAACAAAUUGAGGCCGUGUGGUUCAAGAACUACCCUAAGUUUUACAGGUGCACAUGGCCAUGUGGUUCAUCCAUGUGGUCCACAAGCUAGUGUGAGAGACCGUGUGGCCAUAAAACUACACACGAUCACCACCGGUUCUCUUGGAAAAGACACACACCUUUCACCACAGGUCCAAUUAACGCUCUUCAUGAUCAAGUUUGAUCUGAUUCACCUAGAUUCGAUCCUUCAACAGCAAAUACACACAAUUAAUGAUUAGUAUCAAGAUUUGGAAAAGAUUCGUAAAAGAUUGAUUAAUCAAACGAAAUAUUAACAUCAGAUAUUAGUACGACGAAAGUACGAUAUCUAACCAUUGAAAUGUACUUACCGAUUCUUGAUAAAUGUAAUGGAUGCUAUUUGACAAUAAAUAUAAACACCGUUAAGAAUUGAAUGUACGGGGAACGAUCCAAUGGGGGAAAGAAAUAGUAUCAACAAAACGAAGUAAUAAAAUAUGAUUCAAAAAUGAGAGAAAAGAAGAGAAAAAGAAGAUGAAAGCAAAUCCUAUUAGAAUUUUGAGAAAAGGCAAGGUGCAAAAUCAAAAUAGGAAAAGUUGAUUAUAUACCUAGGGUUAGUAAACCCUAGGGGCAGCACAUGCAAAUUUCCCAACAAGGCUUGCCAAAAAUGGAAAAACAAAUGAGAAAGAGGGAAGACUCAAACUUAGGUCUCUAGGGUGGAUCAUCUAACUCUUAACCAUUAAGCCUAUAACUAUUUCUUGUUUAAUUUAGAUCCUUAACCAUUUAUAUUUCAGGGUGUGACAAAAAUUAAAAUUAUAAAAUUUAAUUUUAAAUAUUUCAAUUUUUUAAAAAUAAUUAAUUGUUAACGUAACAUACACAUUGACGGCCACAUUACCAAAGUAAACAAGCAAUAAGUUUUUCAUCAAUUUUUGGCUGAUUUAACAAACAAAGCAAGUUUAAUAACUAAAAGAGGCAAAAAAAAAAUGAAAGGUUAAAAUAAUUCUUUUUGUAAAGUUAGAAAACUAAAUAAACCAUUAUACCAAAUAUAUAUUUUGUUUAAUUAAUUGGUUUAUUUAUAAUAAUUUUUAUUUUAAUUUUCGACUCCAUUUCAAUUUUAUUCCUAAUUUUGCCCAUAUUAAUUUUAUUUACAUAUUAUAUUUAUCACAUAAUUUUUAUUUUUUAUAAUUUAACUUUUAUUUAUUAAAUAAGUCAUAUUUAUGUAAAUUUUUAUAUUGUAUCAAAUAAAAAUUAUUAUAUAUAUUUGCUAAUUAAAUCUGAACUUAUAUAGUUCUAUGAAGAUAUAAAUAGUUUAUCAUAAAAUGUACUCCCUUUCAAAUAUUAAACCCCCAACCACAUAAAUAAAGAAUGAGACAAGCAUCCAUCCCACUACAUCACAUGUGUUUUUUUUUUCCUAUAGCAUAUAUCUAAAACCAUUCUAAAUUUUCCAAGUGAAAGGAUAAACAUCCUUCACUAAGGGUAUCUUCGGAUGGAUGGUUGCUAUAGUGUGAUGGAAUUUUUUAUUUUUAUAAGUAUAGUAAUUAAUUUUACUAUCACCGUAAUUUUUAACUUUACCGAAAAUAAAUACACUAAGUCUAAGAAAAGAGAAAAAAAAUUGUGUUAAAUUCUUUUCUUCUUAAAGAGUUUCACUAAAAUAACAUAGUGGGUUUAUGCGUACCAUAUAUUUGAAUUGAUUUGAAAUAAUUUUUUAUCUAUAUUAAAUUAUAAAAAUAUGUAAAUAUUAAUAAUUUUUUAAAAUAAAUUAAAUAAAUGAUAAAGUCAAAUUAUUGAAUGAGAUCAGGUUAAUAAUAGACCAUGGCAAAAAAAAAAAAAUCUUUUUAAGACGAUGGUUAACUAUAUGAGUACAUAAAUAUUUCAAAACUUAUUUAAUAUAAAAUUUUAAUGUAUUAAAUUUUAUUAAAUUUUGGAAAUAGCAAAUUAAUAUUUCAAUUAUAAUUUAAGGGCCAAUUUGAUUAUGAGUUAAAAUUUAUUAGGAUACAAAUUAUAAAUUAACAUGAUGUAAUUUUUUCUAAACAUAUACCUAACAUGAGUUAUACUUAUCUGUACGGUAUGAUAUAUUUGAAUUGAUUUGAAAUAAAAUAGAUUUUGAGCCAACUAUCCAAAUUAUUAUUUUUGUAAUAACAAUAUUUUUAUCAAAAUUAAUUAUAAAAGUAUAUAAAAUUUUAAAAUAAAAUAAAUAAUAACCUUGAAUUUUUUUAGCUGGAUAAUAGACCAUGGCAAAAAUAAUCUAGCCCAUCAGAAAUCUACCUCAUUGCGAUGGAAAUUUUGGUCAUUAUAUGUUCUGAUCAUAUCUUUUUUUUAUACAAUGAUUAGAAUUACUCAUAGUCCCUCCCCAACCCAUAAAUAGGAGGAUAAUGAGCUUCAACGCACUCAAACCCACAUCCUCUUACAUUGGUAAUAAUACUCAUACCAAUCGAGUUAAAACUCAAUUGAUUAAAAUAUAUUAUUAGAAUACUUUUACCUAUAAAUUUAAAAUAAUUGCUCUUUGGCCGUUGGAUCAUGAAAACACAUAAAAGCAAACGCACAUUGUGUUUUUACUGGGCUACUUGUCUAUGGGUUUGAUUCAGUUAAUAGUGAUUGUGAAGGAACUAAAAAGGUAUUCUCAAUCAAACUUCAACAGUGUCAGAAACAAUGCUUAUGACUAAUGCCAAUUGCUUGAAGAAGUGAUUGUAUAAACAAGACAAAAAAAUAAAGUACACGUCAACCUUAUUUAGAGCGAUUAUUCACUAUCAUAAUAACUAUACAACAAGUGACUACAACCUCUAAUAUUCACCAAUAAAAAACUCAUGUCGGAAAAAUUUAGUGACUAGAUGAAAAAGUUAAUAGAUUUGAGCAACGACAUCAAGUUUACCGGCAUAUUGCAUUCUGAGUGGCAACUUGUCAAAGUACAUGGACGUAAUAACAAUGAGCCUGAUGAAAUUGCCAAAGCCGGUUCAUACAAUUUUAAUGCUACUUGGAGUCUGUUUAGAGUUAGCGCAUAACUGUGUAAUGGUGAGUUUUGGUUUGGUCCCUUGGUAAUUGCAUUAGGCAAUAGGAAGGGGCCUUUUUUGUCUGAAUGUUUCUUCCUAACUAUUUACCUUUCAAAAUGUAUUAAUAAAGAUAUCAUCUAUCUAUAUAUGCAGGUGUGGACUGCAGAAGUAUUAAUAAAUAUAAAAAUUCUUGGCUCAGAGCAUACACAAUUUUUGUAGAGUGGUUCUACUUAUAUUUUACUUAUAAAAGAUUCUUUUAAAUAAGCUUCUUAUCAUUAAAAUUUAACUAAAUUAUUUAACAUGUCGACAAAAUUUAGGAUUACAUGUCAGAUCGAAUAUAUUAUAAAUAUCUAAAAUUUGAUUCAAAUGCUUUAAAUAUGCUCAAUGUUAUAUUCAAGCUAGCACUUCACCCCUAAAUUAACAGUUAGCUUGACGAAUAUUAAUAGUUUGGAGGCUCAUUUAGAAAGCUGAGUUUAGCAUCUGGACAAUAGUUUGAGAAUAUCUAUAAGUUAUUAACCCAAGAAAGAAAUAUAUAUGAAAGAACAAUUUGAGCUUCCAGCAUCAUUUACCUAUCCUAAACUAGGACUGUUUUGUUUUCGACCCAGCAAACAAGGAGGUGGAAUUUAAACAAGGAAGAGACUAACAAUUGUCCUUUUUUUUCGAGAUUCAAAACUCUCAUCAAAUUCAAUUUAUAAAAUAUCUUUUCCUUUAUUGCUUAAAUUAUACAAUAUAAAAUAUGAAUUUUAAGAAUUUAGAACUUCCUAAAGUUUGAUUUAUUAAUAUUUUCUUAAAUACAAUUAGACAUGUAUUAAAUUUCUAAUUGUGUUUAAAUUAUAAGAAAGAAAAAAGAAAAAGAAGUUUUAAUAUUUUGGGUGAAAAUGAACAUAAAAAUUUAGAAAAUCACUUAAAACUACAAGUAAAGCCUAAGAUAUUAUAUACCAUACUAAUUAUAAACGUUUCAGAGUUUGAAGUUGACUACAAAAGAUAUACACAAAUAAGAAUUUGAGCUUGAAGCACUUAAAAAGAAAGUGCUUACCAAGUACAAAGGUAUCGUAAUGGAUUCUCCCCAAGAAGAUGGUAUUGGAAACUCAUCCAUGGAGGUUUUGACUCCUAGAAAGGUACAUUUUAGGGAUAAACCUGAAGAGGUGAAUACAAAUAUUAUCGUUGAUACCUUCUUGGAAAGAGAAAUUAAUGGGGCAAUCAUCCAUGGCUAAUAGAAGUGGGCCAGAGGAAGAUGAGGAUUUCGAUCUGAUGGAAGGAGAUAUACAGAAAUCUAUUGUUAAUGUUAUACCUGCAAUAGACUUUUCAGAAAGGAUCCACCAAUUGCUCACUAAGGACAUGGAAAACACAAUAGUCUUAAAACUCCUUGGGCCAAAAUAUUGGCUACUCUCUUCUACACAGCAAAAUUUACAGCAUUUGGAAGCCACAAUUUCCGUUUAAACUGAUAGACGUUGAGAACGACUAUUUUCUGGCUAAAUUUCAAAACAAAUUUGACAGUGAAAAGGUCCUCUCUGAAGGCCCUUGGAUUAUCUUCGGUCACUAAUUGAAAGUACAACUGUGGACGAUAUCAAAACAAAACUCACUAAAUAUUCACUUUCCAAAAUUUUGUCUCUUUUAACCUUUUACUCAAUUACGUGCAUCAACCUAUAAAGCUUAUAGCUUCAUUGUGGUGGGAACAUGGCAUUGAAAAUCUUUGUACCACUUUAAAAUGCAUCCAAUAAAUUGAGAGCAGACACGAAUCUAGAAAUAUUUUUAGGGACGGAAUUAAAUAAUAAUUUCUUAAGAAAUUAAAAUAUAAUUUUGUAAUGUAUUAAUUUAUUAUUUUCAUAUUUUUUGAAGGAUUAAAUAUAUAUAUUUUAAUUUUAGGGGACUAAAGUACAAUUUUAAUAUAAAUUAAAUUUUAAUUUAAUUAUCUUAUAGAGAUUAAAAUAGUAAUUUUCUAUUUUAAUUUUUUAGUAUUUUAAAAAAAAUUAAACUAAAAUGAUAACUUUUGUAAAUAUUAAUAGCUAAAUUUGUUGAAUUUUUUAUAUUCAGGAUCAAAUGAUAGAAUGUGUAAAUAUUAGAGGGUUAAUUUUAUUAGACCAACAAAAAAAAAACCCACAUCAAUUUUGAGUAACUAAAAUAUUUAAUUUUUAAAAAUUUAGUGACUAAAAAAAAUUAAUAAUAAUAAUAAUUGAGUAAUCAAAAUAGAAUAACAAACAGGGUGAAAUUUUUAUAGUUUACCAUUAGUUUUACAAUGCAAACAUGAAUUACAUUUUAUUCUACACUAGUUUUAUUUAGUGUUGUUAUUUUUUAGCUGGAAGCAACAAAUUUCAUGAUUUCAAAGCUAAGAUAUUUUUUACGGUAAUGAAGAACAUGAUAAAAUUAUCGACCAAGAGUCAAAUUGUAUUUUGUCUCAUUUAUUAAAAAAAUAGGUAAAUUAGUCUUUAUACAUUAGAUCAAUGAGAAAAUUUGUCAUUAUACUAAAAAUUACAUCCAUUUCUACAAUUAAAAAUAUGUCAUUGUACGUUAGAAUGUGGUACAUGCCACAUGCAACUAUUUGGUUAUUCUAUCAGUCAUGUCAGUAUUUAUUAGUAAAAAUGGAUAAAGUUUUUAACAAAAAGAACUAAUUUGCUCUAAUUUAACCUAUAAAGACUAAUUUAUCUAUUCUUUUAUUCGAAGAUCUACAAUGGGAGAGAUUAUGUACCAUCAUCAUAUUUUUAUCUAAUAUUAUCUAAGCAUUCAUAAAGGCUAUUGAUAUGGAACGAAAAUCUAGUGAUUUGAUUUCAUCAUACUAGUUAAGACUUACAUUAUUACGUAUGGAAUUUAGAUUGCACUUAUUUGUUCAUUGUGAGGAAUUUUUGAAGUUUAUAUUAUUGUAUAAUCAAAUUAUUUUAACAAUUUAUACUAAGCUUUUAUCGGAGAAAGCCUUAAUUGUGAGGAAAAUUUGUCAUUACGUCCUUUUAAAAUUUAUAAAAUUUUAAAUUAGUAAUAGAAAAAUUGUUUUGAUCCUCUCAAAAAUAAAAAUAAAAUUAAUUUAAUCCUUUAAAAAUUAUAAAAUAUAGAUUAUUAAAAUGAUGAAAUUACAUUUUCACUAUCGUAAAAGUAUAUAAUUUAAUAUCGACCAAAAAAUUUUCUAAUUUCGCCUUGUUGGAUUAUGAGUAGAUGAACUCCUUUUAUUGCCAAUUACGCCUACUUCUAGAAGAAAAUUAAGUUUACAUUUGAUUUUUUUUUCUUAGAAGGUACCGAUAGUAUUUUAUUAUGCAAAAGCUUAAAGGCAAUAGCUCUGGCAUAAACAACGUUACAUUAAAAACACUUAUGAUAUGAUGAUUAAGAAUGUUUAUCAUAUUAAGUGUAACCUGAAUUCAAGUUAUAUUAGUUGCAUUUAUUAUUCGAACUUUGUCAUGUUAUUAUAAUUCAUCAAAAAAAAUUCUUCGAACCACUUUAAGACAAUGGAAAGAUCACAUUGUGGGCAGCGUAAAAGAUUAGGGACUAUAAUUAGUACCAUAUUUGAUUAAACAAUUUGAAAGUAUUGUUUUACUUUGUUUGUUAAAAAAAGUUGGAAUAGAUGUCUUGUUUUUAUAAAAUAUCAUGCCACGUAAAUGGUUUGUGACAACGUAAGAGAUAAUACAAUGUUUUAUUGCGUUUGGUAAAAGUAUUGAACAAGGAAGAAUGAUAUAUCACUUAUGUUUAUAAAAAAUAAAAAAUGAAUUUAGAUAAAGUGAUGAUUAGAUUUGAGUCAUUUAUUUAUGUUGGUUUUUGAUAAAUUUAUAUAUUAUUAAAACAUAUAUUUUUAUUUUAACAUAAUAAUAUAAAAAACUUGAUAUUUUAUACUAAAAAAGUAAAAAAAAAAUUACUUAAAAAACACAUUCACAAUGAAUCUGAAUAAAUUGAAGUUGAAGUGCUUUUGAAUCUAGAUAAAAGUUUGUUUAGAUUCAUUCUUAAUAUUAAAUAGUUUAUAUAUAUAUAUAUAUUAAUAUAUAUAUAUAUAUUCAUAAUUAAUUUAGAUUAAUUAGUUCAAUUAAUUCAAUCGGUUCGUCUAAUUUGAUUAAGUAAAUUAUUAAAAAUUUGAUUCAAUCAGUGAUCAAUCCGAUCCGAUUUAAACAACCUUAACCAUAUAUUUUAUCGGUUUUGAGAUCAAGUAAAUUUGACUUUGACUCAAUUACCCAAUUUUUAUUUUUUAUAAAAAAUUAUUUAAAUGAAAGGCAUAAUGUUUUUCUUUUGGCCCUCCAACUUUAUGAAAAAAAGUCAUUUUAGCCCUUCAUUUAAUUUUUUGCCUCUUUUAGCAUUUAAAUUUGCGUUGUUUGUCAAAUACCCUAAAAUGGAUGGAAAAAUUAACAUAUGUUAACUUUGCUGAUGUGGCAUCUACAUGGAUUACCAGUGUACGUCACGUCAGUAAUUAACUUUUUAAAAUAUUAAAAAUUAAAAAAUUAAAAUUAUUUAAAAAAUAUACAAAUUAUAAGUAAAUUUAUAUAUUUAAUAUUUUUAAAAAUUAAUUAAUUGAUGACCAUACACGUGGACUACCACGUGGAUGCCACAUCUUCAAAGUCAAUAUGCGUUAACUUUUUCAUCCAUUUUGAGGUAAUAUGACAAAUAAUGUUAAUCGUUCUUGGUUAUUCUCUAAAAGGGGGAUUCCUUUUUGGUGUUUAGGAGUUAAUCAAGGGGCUGGUGGUUUUGAAUCGACAUUGUGAUUGUGUGAAAUCGUGGUUACUCAAGCGAGGUAUGGGUUUUGUUAGGUUUUUAGUCGAGUUCCUUCCGAAAUUGGUUGAUUAAAAACAAAUUAAGUGAUUAAUCUGGAGAUAUGUUGGUUGAUUUUUAGGUUCUGGAGGCUUAGGAGUGCUUACGCAUUAGAAACAAUACCAGAUGUGUACCAACGCAGAAAACGGGAUUCGGUGAAAAGCUGAAAUUGCUUGCUGUUGAAAAAUAAGAGAAAAUGAUGCGAAAAAUUGUAGAGAAAGGAAAUAAGGGUGUUUUAAACUUGGAAAUCAACAUUUUGCACUAAAAUAGUUUUGGACAACAGCAGUAGUCUAACAUUGAAAAAUCAUCAAAAAUAGUGGAAAUUGAGUUAGAGGUUGAAUAAAAUAUGAAAUUAAAUUUUAUUGACUCUAGUUUUUCAUGGAAGAAACAUGUAAGCAAUGGAAUUUUAAGUUAUGAGAUAUAAUAAAUUUUGUGAGACAAGGUCAGAAUGGUUUCGGGUUCUCUUGUUCUGACUUUGGAAAAUCAUCAAAAAAUGUAAAAAAAAUUAGGGGUGUAAAUUUAUAUUUUUAAAUCCUUAAUGAGUUUAUUUUCAAUAGAAACAAACAAAAACAUCAUCCAAAUUCCGUACUAAGAGAUAAAUAAUUUUUAGUAAGAAGAGGUUGAAGCUGUCAAAUAGGAAAAUAAGGAUAAAUUUGAAGAUUUUACUGUACUUAUUUGAUAAACUAUAAAUUUUGAAAAUUUUAUGGUAGAAAGGAAUUUGAGUCUGGUUUCAAAAACAUCAAGCGGAUCUUAAUUUGGAAUUUUGUAGCUCAAGAUAUAAAUAAUUUAGUGACAAUGACUCAAGUAGACAGCUUUGAAUGAACAUGUAAGUAAAUAGUGAAAACAUAUAUGAAUAUUUAACUAGCAUGGGUUACAUUAAAUAUGAAUCACACGGCCAAGGCCAAUUUAGGCCGUGUGGGCCACACGGGCAUGUGAGCCUAUUUUUUUGAAAAUUUGUCUAAGGUUGCACGGGUCGCUCAGGCCGACUGUGGACCUACUAAAGUGUCGAUAAGCCCUACUUAGACCCCUAUAUGAGUGAUCUGUCUGUCUGAUUUCUGUAACGAGCAUGAAUUAUGAUAUCUGAAUGUUGUAUAAUAACAUGAUAUCUUUUGUAUGUUGCAUUGCAUCGGGGUGGGUUAUUGUUAUCUGGAGGAAGUGUCUAAAAGGCUAUUAAGUUUGUUAUCUGGCAGCUCUACUGCAACUUUCUGAUUAUGUGCCGCAUUUUGGUACAACAUUUUGUGUAGGGAUGGGUGGGUUGGUUUAAUCCCUACAUGGUGUGUAGGGAUGGACGGAGAUGGUGUGUAGAGGCUAGUGGGUAGGAUUUUGAUUUUCUACUAUUGCAUAUUGUAUUUGAGAUGGGCCAAGGCCCUAAAUUAUAUCUGUGUCUGUAUCCGAAUGGGCCAAGGCCCAAACUGAAUCUGUAAUGGGCUCAGGCCCCAGACUAUAAUUGAUUGUUUUCUGAUGUGUAUCUGUAUAUAUGUUUUCUAUAGGGAUUACACACUGAUUUUGCAGAAACUCACCCCUUUUUAUGUUUAAUUUGUACAGGUAAUCCCUAAACUUAGGCGGAUCGGUGCAGGGGAGGGCUGGACGGUGACCACCACUACUGAACUGCUUUAUUACAGCUUUUAAUUUUAUAUUAUCUUUGGGUAUUUAUUAUUGUAAUGUUGGGAAUUUGGAUUGUUUGGUUUAAAUUGGGAUUUUAUACUGUUUUUAUGGAUUUUUAAACUGCAACUCAACAAAACACGAUUUUUUUCUAAAAACUAAGAUUUUCUGUUUCGUAAAAUAAUUGGUUUCAAAAGCUUAUGCUUAAAAGACAUGUUUCAAGGCAAAUCAGCUAGUUCACAUUUUUCCGAAUUAAAUAAAAGCUAAUUAACUGAAACGGUUCUAACUUGUCAAUCUCAAUUUCAAACCCCAUUCCAUGUGACAUCACUAGAUUCAGCCAUAACGUCUAGGUCAGGUUUGGGGUGUUACAAUUAGACCUUUACAAUGGUAUAUUAUAUGCUCAAAAUGGUUGAGUGAUGAAUGAGAAAUUGAUGCUCAAAGUAAGCUACUUGGAAGUAUUUGUUGGGGAAAAGAAAAGUUUAGAUCCCACGUUGGUUAAAUACAAAGUAUGAGAUUUGUAUAUAUAUGAGAACACACUUGAAAGGUGAUUGAAUGGCUAAGCUUGGAACCUUGCCUCGCGCAUAGGGGUGCAGGUCCAAACCCGUUGGGGUUGGGGCGCACCCACACAUUGUUGGCAACGUGAAAUGUCUGAAUAGCCAAAAUGGGUUUAUGAAUAUUUUAGCCCAAUACAAAAUCUGAUAUAAAAGGACAUAUAUCUUUAUUUUAUUUGAUUUUAAUAAAUUUGAUUUGAUUUUAAUCAAAUUGAUUUAAUUGCCUCUUUAAUGCAUAUUUUGUCUCCUUAUAAAUGGAUAUUUCCAAAAAUUUCUCCACUUUGAAUUUCUAUAAAAUGCUAAUACUUCUUCAGAAUUUUUUGUUCAAUACUCAUACUCUCUCACACCGAAUUUAUUUUGCUUUCAAAAUUCUUCUUUUUCUCUUCAUAUUUUUCAACGUUUCGGUGAUAGAAAAAGACAACAUUUAUUCAUUGAUUGCUGCUAAGGUGCUACUGCUUUGAUCUUCAUGUCGUUGUAUCCUGGGAGACAGUAAAUCAAUGCUUCUCCAAGUACUGUAGGAGCGGCUGAAUUUGUCUUAAGGAAACUAUUUUAAACAGGCCUCAAUUUGUUACGCUAUUUAUUGAUUUUUGUAUUUGACAAUUUAAAUAUAAAUUAUUUGAUUUACAUUUUAUUUUAUAUAUAAAUAUUUAUUUAUAUUUAUAUAUUUUAUUCGCUAGCGUGUUUUGUCCAACAAAAAUCAACUGCUAUUAAUGUUAAAUACACUUACAUCUUGUGAAAAAGAAGAUUACUGGCUCUUUCUUAAAAAGUUACAGUUUAGUUUGGCGUGAGGAACAAGGACAUUAAAAGUGUACCACUUUAAGACCGCCGAAAGUUCAACUUUGUUGACUAGUUUAGUUUGUGAUUCUACCAUAUUUGAUUAAACAAUUUUAAAUUUAUAUGUUAGUUUGUUUCCUAAGAAAAGUUAGAAUUGAUAGUAUUGAUGUAUUGUUUUAUAAAUAUCAUUUUGUCUAAUAAAUAAAUUUGAUUUUUUUUUUAAUUAUCAAUCAUGAACAUAAGAAAUAAUAUAUUAGAACUCAUGUAUUUAUAGUUACUAAAAUAAUAAUUAUACUAAUUCAAUUAAAGCUGAAUCCACCGGUGUAAUCUUAUUUUUCGAUAAAAAAAAAAAUAGCAUACAUUGGAAUUGAUCUUUGUAGCAGUUCUCAAUAAAAGUAAAAUCCUCACCUUAAAUCACGGAAUCCUGCAAAAAGAGAAAAAGUAAAAAAGAUGGAAGCAUCCAGGAAAUGGAGGAGAGAUUGUAUAAAAUUAUGAUUUUAGGUCUUCUUUAUCCCUUUUUUAAUUAGAGAAUUUACAAAUCAGAUUUUUAUUAUUGAUUCUAGCUUUUUCCUCUUAAUUAAAAGAAUUCAAAUUCAACUAAAAAUACUAAAAAUUAGGAGGAAAAAUAUGAUUUAUUAUUCUCCCAUUAGAAAGAAAUAAAAAUGACAUAAGAUUAUAAUUUUAUACAAUUAUUUCUCAGAGGACAUGAAUGAGCGAGGGAAUGCUGUUGUCGUGAAUAUAGUGUCUCCAUAUCACUUCCAAAUGGUCAAAUAAAACAUAGUUAAUUAAAAUUUGGUGCAUAUUAUUUAUUAUCUCUCUCUUUCUUCGGCAUCAUCCAUCACUAAUGAAAGAGACAAACAGUGAUACUUGCUUUCUUUUUCUUUUUUGAAAGACUUUUAAGGAAAUUGAGGUUAUUCAUUCACUAUGAUUUACAUGGUUUUUAAAAUUGGAUUAGUCAUUGGAUUGAUGAAAUCAUCGGUUCACCAGAUUAAUUAGUUCAAUUAAUUCAAUCGGUUCGUCUAAUUUGAUUAAGUAAAUUAUUAAAAAUUUGAUUCAAUCAGUGAUCAAUCCGAUCCGAUUUAAACAACCUUAACCAUAUAUUUUAUCGGUUUUGAGAUCAAGUAAAUUUGACUUUGACUCAAUUACCCAAUUUUUAUUUUUUAUAAAAAAUUAUUUAAAUGAAAGGCAUAAUGUUUUUCUUUUGGCCCUCCAACUUUAUGAAAAAAAGUCAUUUUAGCCCUUCAUUUAAUUUUUUGCCUCUUUCAGCAUUUAAAUUUGCGUUGUUUGUCAAAUACCCUAAAAUGGAUGGAAAAAUUAACAUAUGUUAACUUUGCUGAUGUGGCAUCUACGUGGAUUACCAGUGUACGUCACGUCAGUAAUUAACUUUUUAAAAUAUUAAAAAUUUAAAAAAUUAAAAUUAUUUAAAAAAUAUACAAAUUAUAAGUAAAUUUAUAUAUUUAAUAUUUUUAAAAAUUAAUUAAUUGAUGGCCAUACACGUGGACUACCACGUGGAUGCCACAUCUUCAAAGUCAAUAUGCGUUAACUUUUUCACCCAUUUUGAGGUAAUAUGACAAAUAAUGUAAGUUUAAGAGUUAAAAUAGGCAAAAAAAAAAUUAAACAGAGGGUUAACAUGGAAAUUCACAAGGUUUUUUCGUCAAUUUUAUGGUAAAAGUAUCAUAAAGGUUAUUGUACUAGAAGUCAAAUUAAUUUUGUCGCUUCUACUCAAAAUAUGGGCAAAUUAGUCAUUAUACGUUAGAUCAAAGAGUAAAUUGAUCAUUCUGUUGAAAAAUUAAUCUAUUUCUAUUGUUAAAAACUAGUCUCUAUAUGUCAGCAUGAGCUAGAUCGGGUUAAAAAUAUACUAGGGCAAAGGAUAUAAUUUUUCUUUUUAGUCCAAUCUAACUCGUUACGAUGGAAAUUUACGAGUUUUUUUUUUCCCACAUAUGAAUAGUUUAGUCAAUUUAUGAGUCUUUUAGUCAACUACGCUUACAUUUGGUUUUUUUGUUGGACGAUGAAAACACAAAGCAAACCUGCAAUCUCAUGAUGCUUGGGUUUUGAUUUAACAAAAGGGGUUUGCUUUUUAUGGACUUUCAAAAUUCAAAUUAAUGCUUUGGAAAUAAGAAAUUGACUUCAACAAUAUAUUUGUUUAUUUCCUAGCUUUUCAAUUUGUCUGGUCAAAUAUUAGUUUGGAGGUUGCUGCCACUGAGAUUAAGAUUGUACUAACAGGUUUUUGAGUAAGAAAUAUUGCAAUUUUAGUUCCAUCAUUGUUAUUGUUGACAUAACAAAUGCUAGCGCAAUUUUAGUUCCAUUUUAGGUGAAUCAUGUUAUAAACCAAUAAAAUGGAGUGUCAUGCAAAGAUGCAGGAGUAGAUCCUAAAAUUAAAAUGCAGUGGUAAUUAGUGAUAAAUUGUUAGGGAUGAUGAAAGUGAUUGUGAAAAAAAAAAACAAGUUGCAGAGCGAAAUUGCUAAAAGAUCAAAAGAUUUCAAUCGAAAUGUUCAAAUAUUUACUUAUACUUCUUUGAACUAAUGAAGUUGUUAAAAGAAGUGAGAAUGAACAUAUUGAAGUAUUGAAUAGUGAGAGUGAGAGAAGUUAUAGAAGUUUAUAAACAGGGAAUUCAAUAUUGGGGGAUGAAACAAAAUUUUAGAAGUUUGGGAGGGUAAAAAUAAAAAAUUAAUUUUAAAAAGGCUUAAAUUGAAUACCUAAAAAUUGGGAGGGGCUAAACAUGACAUUAUUCAACUUAACUUUACGAACAUUACAUGAAAGUUACUCUCGCAUAAUUUACGUGGAAGUUACACUCAACUACCAUUUUUAAUAAAUGAAGUGUUACUUCCCAAGUAUACUUUUUGCUUAAUCAAGAAGGGAAGCACUUUGACGGAAUUAGCCUUGUUCAUAGUUUGUUGAAUCGAAAUUAGAAAAUCCUUAUUCAUCAUAUUUCAAAGUCUCAAAAUACUAUUACUGAUCAUUUGGUCAAGUAUAUUGUCGAAACCUUCUUGAAAAUCGAUUUUUAUUUAAAAACGAAAAUGGAGUCGCCACCAAUCAUUUUUAUGAGGUGUGAUCGGAUCACCUCGUAAUUUGAUCAUUUUAAUAAAAAGUUUGAUUUAUUAAAAUAAUGAUUUUCGUUCUAUAAAAUCCAGGAAAUGGGUUCGGGGGUCGGUUACGUACGAGAAAUGAUUAGCACCCUCGUGACGCCUAAAAAUUGGUACCUAGUUGAUCACUUGAUGUCUUAGUAUUCAGAAUUGAAAAUUUGAAGAGAAUUUAAAGCACGAUCCCUUUUUGUAUUAAAAUAUUACUUAACUAAAUUAAAUUAAAUGGAAAAGGCCUUAUUUCAAGUUAAUUGAGAAGAAAGACCAUGCCCCGUGAGUUAGGACACGAUACCUCGAAUUCUCAAAAACCAGAAAAUCGCCAUUUAAUCGCUACCUUAAUCUUGUUUUUCGUUAUUUUAAAAAGGAUAUUCGAUUAUUUCGGUUUUAAGAAGAGGUCAUACUCCGUAAGUUAGGAGCAUGACUCUCCGAAUUCUAAAAAUAAUGAACAUUGCCUUGGUUUUAAUUAUUUCAUAGGCGUUAUGUAGAAUGAACGUAACCUCUAAAACGAUGUACAUUUAGGAAAAACAGGAUAGUAUGUUGUAAUAUGACACAUGGAAUGGUGAUAGCAAAAUAAAACAAAAUAACCAUGUAAGUAAGAAUAAAAAGAUGAUAUUAGGAUAAUAAGUAAAAUAAAAUAAAAUAAGUAUAUAAAAAAAUACCAUGUUGAUAAAUAACGACAAUAAUGCAACUAAAAUAGUAAUACGAAUACCUUACUACAAUAAUAGCAAUAAUCAUAUCAUAAUUAUUAUCAUAAUAAUAAUAAAUAAAAGGAAACGUAAAUGACAUAAAUUUUAAGUGUUAAAAUAAAUGAAACAGGCAAAAUUAAUCAAGUGAGGGAUAAAAUUGAAAUUUAAACGGAAAUUAAGUUAUAAAUCGCAAAAUAAUUAAAGAAAUGAGGAAUAAAGGACUAAUUUGAAGGUCCAGUAAGAUCUAAUGUCUAAAUAAAAAAAUAAGAUAAAAAAGGCUAAAUUAAAAUGCGAAGCAAAAGUGUAGGGACUCCAAGGACAAUUAAUCCAAAACAGUACAUGCGCCAUUCCCCGAGGGGUCAACGGUAUAAGGACUAAAUUGAAAGCGAAUUAAAAUCAAAAGUUAUAAUCUAAAAAAGAAAAGAAAAAAGUGAAAUUAGGACCACAUUGCAAAAGGCUCAAAGGCGGAAGGACUAGGGCGAAUUAGACCUUCCCCUCAAAAACAUGUGGAUCCUAGUGUCACGGGGCUAGACCUUUCGUCUCGCAAUCCGUGCGGCCUUAGGCGAUCCGUUUGCUCCAAACUCGCCCAAGUCAGUCUUAACUCGAUGAGGAUUCUUUAAGAACUCCUCCAAGGCACCAAUUGAACAGCGGAAGCGAUUUUAUGCCAAAAGAAGCUAAGCAAAAGAACAACAGAAAGAGCGCUCGCAAAGUGUUUGAGUAAAUGCUCUCUACUUCUCUUAUUCACAAAGAAUAAUGAAACAAUUCAGGAGUGAGUACAAAUGAGGGGGAGGCUCUCUAUUUAUAGUUGAGCUCCCCCAAAACCGACGGUCAAGAUACAAUUACAUCGACGGAUGAGAUUUAACCAUAUCCCUUAAUUUUAGGGAUUUACAAGAUAAGCCUUAUCAAAUCUAAUCUAAUCUUUACAAGAUAUGAUUCCCUCUAUCUUCUAAGAUUAGUUACCAUAUUAGCCUAAGUUGCCAUCUCUUCGCUAUCGGGCCAACCAGGCUUCAAUCUGACAGGCUUCUCCAAUAUCUCUUUGAAUCGGGCCAGUUCUUGUGGGCCAAAUGAUCCACAUCUGAGCAACAGACCUCCAUUGGAUGCAUUUGGUGCGCUGGUCACGGGCUUUGAACUGCGGCCCGUGACACUAGAGGGAUCUUGGUCGGGUCAUCGGGUUGGCCCCAAAACGACGUCGUUUUGGGGAAUUUGGAACCACCUUGAAACGGUGUUGUUUAAGCGCCCUAUUUAAGUAAAAAAAAUAUUAAAAAAUCAUUUCUACACUCCUCAGAAAAUAAAAGCUUUCCCUCUUUCUUUUUUCUUUGAAAUCGCCCCUCCUUCAGCCAUGGGUGCCGUCUCACGUCUAUCGUGCCCACCGAUCAUCGGCGAUAGCGACCGUCGCCUCUGGUGGCCGAAAAAAUUCCAAAACACCACCUUUGACUCCUCUUUUCGCGUAGAACUCCAAUUCGGAGUCGAAAUUGCCAGAACUAAAGCCAAAACUCCAAAAAAAAAAAAAGUAGAGAAAACCUUUCGGUUUUCUUCUCUCCGACGAAAAAAUUAAAAUUGAAAUACUAUUAUUUUGGUACAUAUAUUUUACUUUAUAUAUUUAAGAGAUAAGUUUUCAAUUUAUAAAUUAUUUUUUAUAUAUUAAUAUAAAUUUUAUAUUAUUUCAAAAGAGAUAAUAUAUUAAUUUUAACAUAUAAAAAUUACUAUUAUAAUUUAAAUUAUUUAAGAGAUAAAAUAUAAAUUUUAUACUCUUUUUUUUUAAAUUAAAAUAUUUUUCUCAAUUUCAUCUUUCACUUGUUCAUAAAUAUAUAAGGUCAACACCUUGAAGAUUUAGUUAAAUAUUAUAUAUAAAACAUCAAAAUUAGAUAUACCUUCAAAGUGCCGGAGACUUUUGAUGGCAUUGUAGCUUAAAUCUAAUGUCUUCAAAUAUGUCAAACUCUUCCAUUCUAUCCAAGAACAAUAAAAUAUAUAAGUUAAUGCUUUGACAACUUAGUUGAUUGUAUAAAGAAAAUCAAAUUUAAAUAUACCUUGAAAGUGCUUGAGGCUUUCUAUUCCAUUGUGAUUUAAAUCUAAAGUCUUCAAGUUUGUUAAAUUCUUCAAUUCUAUUCAAGAGCAAUGAAAUAUAUCAAAUAUCAAUACAAAGCUUAUUCAUAUAAAAAUAAUUAAUUUAGGAUAUUUAAUUUUAAAACAACAAUAUAUUUUCGAAUUUUAAUAUAAAAGUGACAAUUACUUGUAUCUAAUAUUCAACAAUUACAGAGUUUAAUACAAUUAUUUAAUAUAUUUCGGUUUAUCUAAUUUAGGAACAUGCUAUGUACAAUUCAAUGAAACAUUGAUGUCACGUCAUAUAUAUCUCUUUUUUAAUAGUUUUAUAUCACAUCAGCAUUUUCAUCCUGAUUUUCAGCAUUUUCAUCUUGAAAAAAUUCAAAUCCGAAAUAAAAUCCUGAAAUUCAGGAUAAGCAGAAUACUGAUGUGGCAUAAAACUAUUGGAAAGAUAUGCUAUCCCUAUUUCAUACAAUCCUUUCUCACGAAACAUAAGAUAAAUCUUUAACAGCUAAAAACAAGAAGCAUUAGCAUCCAUAAUGUUGAUAUAAGAAAGAAAAACAGUGAGGGCGAGGCAAGAAACAAUCUCGAAAGAGGGAAAAAAGAAAGAAUUUAAAUCAAAAUUUGCAAUUAAGCAGCAUGUAUCAAAAAUAUGAUCCCAACUAUCUUAUCUUUCAGCUAUAAUUUGUAUUUGUUUUGCAUCCUGUUUUAGUUGAGAAGCUCUUUUAUAUAGAGCCAAUAAAAAUAAUCUAGCCCAUUUUGAAUCCGUUUAGCUUCAAAUUGCAAGUCUCAAUAUGAUCUUCCGAGUUUCCUUGUACAACAAAUGUUUCAGCCAUUUGUUUCUCAUCUGGGGUGACAAAAUGGCUGAAGCCCUUUGUUUGGCGUCUUUGUAGAGCAAGUGUUUUUUGCCAUUGUUUGUCUUCAUUGACAAAUGUUAAGAAUGCUUCGUUCAUCUGCUGUAAGUGCAGUGCUGAAAGCACAAUUUUCUUAAUAUUAGUUGUUGUUCUAUCCCUACCCAAGAGGUUUCCCAGAAUCUCUCUUUCUUGCCGGUUGAGAUGUAGCAAGUCAGCAAGUAAUAUGCUUGGAUCUUUGUUCUUGAUUUCUUGGAAAGCUGACUGAACUGCAUUCUGAAUUUUUCUCUCACCAAGAAUCUGCUCUAUUUUAUCUUUAUUCAGUAUAAUAUUUGUGAAAAGAUUAUAGUGUGGAUCCUUUUCCAUUUUGGGAGAUGAGCAACAAGCGGGGAGGGGAGCAAGAAAGCUAAAAAAAUUUUAAUAAAAAAAUCUUGGCUUUCUAAAGAUUGGCUGUUUAUGGAACUUCUCUAAUUGAAAUAGGAUUAGAAUUAGUUUAGAAUUAGGGUUUUUUUAAAUUAAGGACUAAAUUACGCCAUUGAAGAAUUGAAGGUUUGAGCCAUUGAAGAAUUAGUGUUUAUUUAAAUUAAGGACUAAAUAGGCUAUCGAAAAAGUUUGAGGGUUUAUUAUAUCUUAAACCAUAACAAAAUACUUGUAUGAGAAAAAAAAUGGUCUUUUUAAUAUAUUUACCAUAAUAUAAAAAAUAAUUAGUAUAAUAUUUUGUAGACACAUGUGACUUUUGUUGGCCCAAGUAAACUGGCAAUUAGUUUUAGGGUAAAUUAUAAAAAUGUCACUUUUGUUGUGUUAUUUUAAUCAUCCAAUCAUUAAUUUUUUUUUCAAUUUAAUCACUAAACCAGUAAAACCCUUUUAAAUUAACAUGGGAUCAUUUUAUUGGUUUAAUAACAAAAUUAGCCCUCCAAUGUUUAUUCAUCUUAUUUAUUUCAUCCUAAAUAUAAAAAAUUUAAUAAAUUUAGUUCUCCAUGUUUACAAAAUUUAGCCCUCUAAUGAUAGGAUGUGCAAAUAUUAUAAGGUUAAUUUUUUUAUUAGACCAAUAAAAAAGUCAUGUCGGAAAAAUUUAGUGACUAGAUAAAAGAGUUAAUAGAUUUGGGCAACGACAUCAAGUUUACCGGCAUAUUGCAUUCUGAGUGGCAACUUGUCAAAGUACAUGGAUGUAAUAACAAUGAGCCUGAUGAACUUGCCAAAGCCGGAAUUCAUACAAUUUUAAUGCUACUUGGAGUCUGUUUAGAGUUAGCGCAUAACUGUGUAAUGGUGAGUUUUGGUUUGGUCCCUUGGUAAGUGCAUUAGGCAAUAGGUAGGGGCCUUUUUUGUAUGAAUCUUUCUUCCUAACUAUUUACCCUUCAAAAUGUAUUAAUAAAUAUAUCAGCUAUCUAUGUAUGCAGGUGUGGAUUGCAGAAGUAUUAAUAAAUAUAAAAAUUCUUGGCUCAGAGCAUACACAAUUUUUGGUGUAGAGUGGUUCUACUUAUAUUUUACUUAUAAAAAAUUCUUUUAAAUAAGCUUCUUAUCAUUAAAAUUUAACUAAAUUAUUUAACAUGUCGACAAAAUUUAGGAUUACAUGUCAGAUCGAAUAUAUUAUAAAUAUCUAAAAUUUGAUUCAAAUGCUUUAAAUAUGCUCAAUGUUAUAUUCAAGCUAGCACUUCACCCCUAAAUUAACAGUUAGCUUGACGAAUAUUAAUAGUUUGGAGGCUCAUUUAGAAAGCUGAGUUUAGCAUCUGGACAAUAGCUUGAGAAUAUCUAUAAGUAAUUAACCCAAGAAAGAAAUAUAUAUGAAAGAACAAUUUGAGCUUCCAGCAUCAUUUACCUAUCCUAAACUAGGACUGUUUUGUUUCCGACCCAGUAAACAAGGAGGUGGAAUUUAAACAACAAGGAAGAGACUAACAAUUGUCCUUUUUUUUCGAGAUUCAGAACUCUAAUCAAAUUCAAUUUAUAAAAUAUAUUUUCCUUUAUUGCUUAAAAUACAAUAUAAAAUAUGAGUUUUAAUUAAGAAUUUAGAACUUCCUAAAGUUUGAUUUAUUAAUAUUUUCUUAAAUACAAUUAGACAUGUAUUAAAUUUCUAAUUGUGUUUAAAUUGUAAGAAAGAAAAAAGAAAAAGAAGUUUUAAUAUUUGGGUGAAAAAUGAACAUAAAAAUAUAGAAAAUCACUUAAAAUUACAAGUAAAGCCUAAGAUAUUAUAUACUGUAUUAAUUAUAAACGUUUCAGAGUUUGAAGUUGACUACAAAAGAUAUACACAAAUAAGAAUUUGAGCUUGAAGCACUUAAAAAGAAAGUGCUUACCAAGUACAAAGGUAUUGUAAUGGAUUCUCUCUAAGAAGAUGGUAUUGGAAACUCAUCCAUGGAGGUUUUGACUCCUAGAAAGGUACAUUUUAGGGAUAAACCUGAAGAGGUGAAUACAAAUAUUAUCAUUGAUACCUUCUAAUUGGAAAGAGAAAUUAAUGGGGCAAUCAUCCAUGGCUAAUAGAAAUGGGCUAGAGGAAGAUGAGGAUUUCGAUCUGAUGGAAGGAGAUAUACAGAAAUCUAUUGUUAAUGUUAUACCUUCAAUAGACUUUUCAGAAAGGAUCCACCAAUUUGCUCACUAAGGACAUGGAAAACACAAUAGUCUUAAAACUCCUUGGGCCAAAAUAUUGGUUACUCUCUUCUACACGGCAAAAUUUACAGCAUUUGGAAGCCACAAUUUCCGUUUAAACUGAUAGACAUUGAGAACGACUAUUUUCUGGCUAAAUUUGAAAACAAAUUUGACCGUGAAAAGGUCCUCUCUGAAGGUCCUUGGACUAUCUUCGGUCACUAAUUGAAAGUACAACUGUGGAGGAUAUCAAAACAAAACUCACUAAAUAUUCACUUUCCAAAAUUUGGUCUCUUUUCAUCUUUUACUCAAUUACGUGCACCGCUUAUAGCUUCAUUGUGGUGGGAACAUGGCAUUCAAAAUCUUUGUACCACUUUAAAAAGCAUCCAAUAAAUUGAGAGCAGACAAGAAUCUAGAAAUAUUUUUAGGGACGGAAUUAAAUAAUAAUUUCUUAAGAAAUUAAAAUAUAAUUUUGUAAUGUAUUAAUUUAUUAUUUUCAUAUUUUUGAAUGAUUAAAUAUAUAUAUUUUAAUUUUAGGGGACUAAAGUACAAUUUUAAUAUAAAUUAAAUUUUAAUUUAGUCAUCUUAUAGAGAUUAAAAUAGUAAUUUUCCAUUUUAAUUUAUUAUUAUUUUUAAAAAAAUUGAACUAAAAUGAUAACUUUUCUAAAUAUUAAUAGCUAAAUUUGUUGAAUUUUUAAUAUUCAAGAUCAAAUGAUAGAAUGUGUAAAUAUUAGAGGGUUAAUUUUAUUAGACCAACAAAAAAAAAACCCACAUCAAUUUUGAGUAACUAAAUAAUAAUAAUAAUAAUAAUUGAGUAACAAACAUAAUUGGGUGAAAUUUUUAUAGUUUACCAUUAGUUUUACAAUGCAAACAUGAAUUACAUUUUAUUCUAGACUAGUUUUAUUUAGUGUUGUUAUUUUUUAGCUGGAAGCAACAAAUUUCAUGAUUUCAAAGCUAAGAUAUUUUUCACGGUAAUGAAGAAUAUGAUAAAAUUAUCGACUAAGAGUCAAAUUGCAUUUUGUCUCAUUUACUAAAAAAAUAGGUAAAUUAGUCUUUAUAUAUUAGAACAAUGAGAAAAUUUGUCAUUAUAUUAAAAAAUAAAUUCAUUUCUACAGUUAAAAAUAUGUCCUUGUACGUUAGAAUGUGGUACAUGUGGCACAUCACAUGCAACUAUUUGGUUAUUCUAUCAGUCAUGCCAGUAUUUAUUAGUAAAAAUGGAUAAAGUUUUUAACAAAAAGAACUAAUUUGCUCUAAUUUAACCUAUAAAGACUAAUUUAUCUAUUUUUUAAUAAAAGAAACAAAAUACAAUCAGACUCUUAAUAUUAGAGCCUCCAUGAUGUUUUUACUUGAAGAAGAUCUACAAUUGGAGAGAUUAUGGACCAUCAUCAUAUUUUUAUCUAAUAUUAUCUAAGCAUUCAUAAAGGCUAUUGAUAUGGAACGAAAAUCAAGUGAUUUGAUUUGAUCAUACUAGUUAGACUUACAUUAUUAGGUAUGGAAUUUGGAUUGCACUUAUUUGUUCAUUGUGAGGAAUUUUUGAAGUUUAUAUUAUUGUAUAAUCAAACUAUUUUAACAAUUUAUACUAAGCUUUUAUCGAAGAAAGCCUUAAUUUUGAGGAAAAUUUGUCAGUUACAUCCUUUUAAAAUUUAUAAAAUUUUAAAUUAGUAAUAGAAAAUUUUUUUUGGUCCUCUCAAAAAUAAAAAUAAAAUUAAUUUAAUCCUUUAAAAAUUAUAAAAUAUAGAUUAUUAAAAUGGUGAAAUUACAUUUUUACUAUCGUAAAAGUAUAUAAUUUAAUAUCGACCUAAAAAAUUUUUAAUUUCGCCCUGUUGGAUUAUGAAUAGAUGAACUCUUUUUAUUGCCAAUUACGCCUACUUCUAGAAAAAAAAUUACGUUUACAUUUGAUUUUUCUUUCUUAGAAAGGUACCGAUAGUAUUUUAUUAUGCAAAAGCUUAAAGGCAAUGGCUCUGACACAAAGAACAUCACAUUAAAAAACUUUUGAAUAAACUUAUGACAUGAUGAUUAAGAAUGUUUAUCAUAUUAAGUGUGACUUGAAUUCGAGUUAUACUAAUUGCAUUUAUUAUUCGAACUUUGUCAUGUUAUUGUAAUUCAUCAAAAAAAAUUCUUUGAACCACCUUAAGACAAUGGAAAGAUCACAUUGUGGGCAGCGUAAAUGAUUAGGGACUAUAAUUAGUACCAUAUUUGAUUAAACAAUUUGAAAGUAUUGUUUUACUUUGUUUGUUAAAAAAAAGUUGGAAUAGAUGUCUUGUUUUUAUAAACUAUCAUGUCAUGUAAAUGGUUUGUGACAACGUAAGAAAUAAUAUAAUGUUUUAUUGUGUUUGGUUAUAGUAUUGAAAAGGAAGAAUGAUAUAUCACUUAUGUUUAUAAAAAAUAAAAUAAAAUAAUUAAAAAAUGAAUUUAGAUAAAGUGAUAUUUAGAUUUGAGUCAUUUAUUUUUGUUGGUUUUUAAACUUGAAAUGCUUUUGAUAAAUUUAUAUAUUAUUAAAAUAUAUAUUUUUAUUUUAAUAUAAUAAUAUAAAAAACUUGAUAUUUUAUAGUAAAAAAUAAAAAAAAUUACUUAAAAAACACAUUCACAAUGAAUCUGAAUAAAUUGAAGUUGAAGUGCUUUUGAAUCUAGAUAAAAGUUUGUUUAGAUUCAUUCUUAAUAUUAAAUAGUUUAUAAAUUUAUAUGUUCAUAAUUAAUUUAGACAAAAUAAAGUUAAUUAAAAUGAGAUGGAAUCCAAAUUCAAAUACCAAUUAAAUCUUAAAAAUAAAAUAAAAAAUUAUGUGAUCAAAAAAAUAAAAAGUUUAAAUAUGAUAAAGAGUCCAUUAACCCAAAUAACAAUCUGAGCUAGAAGCAGGAUUCAGCUUUGAUACUUGAAUCUUUUAGAUGGUUGCACCUCUGCCUCCUCCUUUGCAAAUGAUAUAUGAACUCCGCAAUGCUUUACCUCACAACAAAUGUUUUCAGACCCAUCCCAAUUGAUAAGGAGAGGGUAGAAUUUAAACCAGGCUUCAUUAUACAUACCCUUGUUUGAUGCCAGAGUUUCAACAAGCCACCCACCUUCAGCAUCGUCAUCACAGAAACAAGUUUUAUAUAAGAGGAACAAGUGAUCCGACCCAAUCAAUUCGCUUCCAGGGAUUCGUUCCCUCCAAGUUAAGAAAGAACAACUAAGGUCAUGACAGUCGCCAUUACGGGACUUUAGACGACAUUUACAUCUAAUGCGAAUUUCUCUGACGCCAGAAUAUUCUUGGAAAGAAACAACAGUGGAAACAACGAAAGUUGGAAAGUUUUUGCUGCUAUUGUAGUACCACUCUGAAGGCAAUUGGAUGUUUAUGGAAGAUCCUGAGCUUUUAAAAUCAAACCAUUCCGGGAUCUCACUUCCAGGGACACAUGUAAUCACCUUGUUUAUUUUAGGGAAUUCCUGUUCAGUUACAAUUAUUAGAAACAUGAUCGAUUAUUCAGCAUAUAAACCAUUUGCCACAUUUAAGAUAUAUGAAGAAGAAGAAGAAGAAGAAGAAGAAGAAGAAGCUGACCUGAUGAUAAUCCUUUAGUAAAGUCACCAUAUGUCCAAAUAGCAUCUGCAACUUUGGUGUUCUAGUAUUUCGCACAGCUUUCUGAUCCAGUUGGAAGCAAUUGCUAAAUAUCCACUCCAAGAAUCCAUAUGGUCUAUCCUUACAAAGCACUGCUUGCUCAAAAAGCUUUUUAAUGCUUGAGACUUCCUCUAGUGAAGUGCAGUCAUGUGCAUCUAAAUGUUUCAGGCUUGGUGGAAGCUCAGGUAAUGAUUUCAGUCUCUUGCAUUUCCUCAAGAUUAACUGCUUCAACCUAGGAAGUUGUUUAAUGCUUGUCGGUAAGUUCUCAAGAUUGCUUCCACUUAAAUCUAAAUUUUCUAAUGAGGAUAACCCAUGGAGAUCUCUCUGCAUCUCUGUUAAAGAAGCUCCUCCAAUGGCAGAAAACAAGUUAUCAGGCCAUGUGACUAGAUUUGAACAUCCAUAGAGAGAAAGAAACUUAAGAGAUUUCAAUUUAUAAAAGUUGUCAGGAAGGCAAGCAAGGUUUUCACAGUUGUUCAGUCUCAAUUCCACAAGACCAAUAAGAUUCUCCAUCGAGGAUGAUAAUUCCUUAAGAGCCGUUCCACUUAAAUCAAGAAAUCUCAAUCUUUCCAUGGUGUCCAAGAUUUCUGGGAAAAUCUCCAAUCUUGAGCAAUCAUGAAGAUAGAAUGUCUUUAGAGAUUUCAAUUUAUGAACACUUGUGGAGACAAUUUUAAGCCUCCUACAACAACUUAGAUUGAGUACACGAAGAUUAGAUAAACAUUCGAUCGACGAAGGCACUUCUUCAAUUGCAGUUCCUCCUAAAUUUAACUCUGUUAUAUUUCCUGAAAUCUCCGGAAAUGUUGUGAUAUUAGGGCUGCCAUUGAGCGAAAAAACUUCCAGGGAUCUUAGACUACAAAUUGCAGUUGGAAAGUUAUUCAGCCUUACACAAUCUUCCAUAGACAGUAAAACGAGUUGGGAAAGAGACUCCAUUGAUGAAGGUACUUGUUCAAUCGUUGUUCCUUCUAAAUGUAGCUCUCUUAGAUUCGAUGAAACCUCUGGAAAGCUAAAGAGAAUAGAGCAGUCACUCAGAAUAAGGGUGGUGAGGGAUGUCGCUUUAUACAAGCUAGGCAGAAAUCUAAGAUUUUUGCACAUUCUCAAAUUCAAACGAGUUAGCUUCUCAAGAUGUUGAAGGGAAGAAGGAAGCUCAAGCAACUUUGUACAGUUUACAAGGUUCAUAGUUUCAAGAUUUGUGGCGCUUGAGAGGUCUGCGAUUUUUACAAGGUUCUCGGAAUGGUUGAGAGUCAUCACCUUCAAGUUUACUAAAUCCUGCACGCAUCACAACAUAUUGUUUUAUGAAUUUGUGUACAUUGAAUAACUAUAAUAUAACAGAUGUGACCAAAAUAUCAACAAAGUGCAACAAAGACUAACCUAUAUUCCUAAUGGUAUAUAUUAAGGGGUAAUUGAGUUCAAGAACUAAGAAGUUAGAGCUGGCUCGAACUCAUGGCUCAAAUUUAAAAUAAAUAUUUAAAAUAAAGAAUGACCUAAAAAUUACUCGAGCCAAGUAUUAAGAUACUAAAAUUUGUUGGAACAUUUUCAACAAUAUUUACAGUGUUUUAAUAACUAUAAAUGAAAUGGUAUAAUUAAUCAAAAGUUAUAUCCUUUUGGUUAUUGAAAAAGAAGUAUUAACUAUUCAAACAAUAUUGUUUAAAUAGUUAUGUUUAAUCAAAGGAUAUUAAAUGAAUAAUUAUGUCACUUUUAAAUAUAUUAUUAUUCAGAAAAGACAUUUAUUGAAAGAUAUCUCUAUCAAAAGAUAUAAAAAUUCCUAUAAAUAGAUAUUAGAUUUCAUUUGAAAAUCACACCAACAAAUUCUAAAAAAUCUUUCUAUCCUUCCUUUAUUUUCUAAUAUUAUUAGAUUAUUCUAUAAAGUGUUACUGUAGAAAUUUUUUGUAAAAAAUGAGUUUCUUAUUAUAGAUUGCUCAAUGCUUAGUGAACUAUUCUCGUCACUGUAAAAAACAAAUAGUCAUCGAGCUUUAUUGUAUCCUUGAUAUUCAUUUGUUUGAAACUCAUUUGCACACCAAAUAUAAGAGGGAUGAAUAGAAUCUUAAAGAUAGUGGCUUGAUAUACAACUUGGAGCCUUAUUAUAUUUCUUCAUUCUCUGUUUGAGUUUCGUUCAUGUGUUAGAAAUUUUUCUCACCAAAAUUUUGUUACUAACAAAAUUUGAGUUGCUCAAUAAAUCAAGCACAACUAAAUCUUAGAUCAACAAUAACUUAACUAAAUUAGAUUUCUUUUAAAAAGAAAACCCUAAUGACUUAGGAAUACAAAUGUUUUGUAAUUUUCUUUUCCCUAUAAAAAGAAAAAAAAAAAACUAUAAACAAACACUAGCCGUAUAGGAAAUGAUUUUCUUCCUAUGUUAUUAUGAAAACAAAACAAAGGCAUAGAUUGAUUUGUAGACGCAACUUUAUAGAAUCAAAAAACAACAAUGAAAUAGCUCCAAACAUGCUUGAAUGAAUCUACAAAAACAUCAUAAAGAAUGAGGCAUAGAUUGAUAUAUAUAUAUAUAAGUACCUGUUUUCCCUCCCAUAGUUUUUCAACAUGGCUAAAACUCAUAUCAAGUUCAACUAGGUUCCUUGGAUGAAAUUUGGUGGGCAAAGUUUUCGAAGGGUACCCCUCCCAACAGAGGUACCUUAGCUCAUCAGGAAGUGAUAAAAGCCCAUGAGGAAGUAAGAUUUUGGAAUUUGUUCCGCAAGAAUGAUAGAAUUUGAGGAAUUUAAGUUUUCGCAUCUUCACAAAUGCUUCUGGUUUUAAUUCCAACUCUGAAAUUCUGGACAUGUCAAGAAGCAUGCUUUUGAGUGUUUUUGCCCCCUAAAUCAAAAGUAGUAUAUCAGAUUAAGGAGUAAAAAUAUAUGAAAAAUAAGAACUAUAUUAUUUGAACUCCAGAUAUGUAUAAAUAUCCUAUAAAAGUAUGUCUUCUAAUGUGUCAAAUAUGACGGUCGAACAUGGACAUGCUCAAAGAAAAUGAACAAGGCCCUUACAGUGUUUUCAAUUAGUACAUCGUAGAUGUCAUUUGAAAUCCAUAAUCUACUGCGUCUUUUAGGCUCUAAAGGUGAUUCCUUGCAAACGACAUUCCAACCCAUUUGCUGCAAUAAAUCAUGCAUUGCUAAUUGAUUUUGUGAAACAUAUAUAAGAGAUCUAUCGAUGAGGUUCUCAAUUCCUGAAUGUGCAGAGACAUAACAAGCAUCCAUAAUCCUUGUUACAUAGUCUCGGUUUUCCCCUUUAAAGAAACAAGCAAUGUCAAGAAAUAUAUCCUUCUCUUCACAAUCUAGUGCAUCAAAACUGCAUAUCAACAAUUUAUGAAUGUCUGGAUUAGGAACCUGCUUUAGUUUCUUUACCGUGCUUUCCUGGUAGGUUUUUUCCUUUCCAUAAAGAGAGGAUCCAAAAACUUUUAUAGCCAAGGGGUUUCCAUCAGCAACACUUAAAACCAUCUUUGAUAACUCCAACCGAUAUCGCGUGGGAUAAUUGCUUUUGAAGGCACGUUGACAGAAGAGCUGAAGAGAUUCACCUUCAUCUAAUUUCUCCAUUUCAUAAAUGCGAUCAAUGUCAUUCUGAAUAAGCACUUGCUUAUUUCUAGUCGUAACGAUGACUCGACUUCCAGGGCAAAGCUGAUUAAUCCCUUUGAACAAAAACUCAAAUUGGCUUAAGUUUGACACAUCAUCACAAACUAUCAAAACCAUUUUUCUAGAAAGCCUGUCCUUAAGAAAGCCUGCUCCGAUUGUGGGAGUUGAAAUAUUUAAAUUUCCAUCUUCCAUUAUGGUUGAAAGAAAUUCCUGACGCAAUUGGAAUAAUCUUCCAUGUUCUUCCGAUUCUCUCACGUUUGCAAGAAAGUAGCAGCUUUGGAAACCAUUUGAAAUAUGGUGAAAAACCGCUUCGGCAAGUGUAGUUUUGCCGGUACCUCCCAUGCCCCAAAUACCUAACCUUCGCACAUCUGGAAAUCCAACUUGAAUUAGUGAUAUAACUUGCUCCAUCCGCCUCUCAAUUCCAACUAAACCCUUUAAAUAAGCAUUUGAGGUUCCACGAUUCAGUUUCUUCAAUAUGUCGUUGACAAUUUCAUCUAUGAGUCUUGACUCGGGCCUAUAUAUUAAAUAAAGAAACAAAUUAUAAUUUCACCUUCAAGAGUACAACUUUUUCCUUUGAAAAUAAGUAGAUAUUGAUUAGUGAACUGAUGCAUCAGAGCAUAGCAUUCAAAAUUUCAGCAUCGGCAACCUUUCUACGUUCUCAAAGUACAAAUAACUUUUUCCUUUGAAAAUAAGUAGUUAUUCAAAAAGUAUAAAAUGAAUCAUUGAUUAAAGAAAAAAGGAGUUAGUCUGAAUCUCUCUGUUCCCAAAUCAAUAUAUAUAAUAUAAAGAAAAAAAAGGAUUAACCGUUAACGAAAAGGAGAUGCAAUUACCGAGUGACUUGUGAAUCCCAACCGGCUAAUUUGCCAGCUGCAGUCAAAGCACUUCUCCAGCUUUUCACCUUUUCAGGCUCAUGCUUGAAAUUUUCUUCAUGCUUUGCAAAUGCUUCUGCAAAACUCCCUGUUUGGUUCCGUACAUCCCCUGGGUCUACACUGUAAAAUACAGGAACAACCCAUUUGUUGCAGUCCAUGAUCUUGACCAGCUCAGCCAAGCACCAUUUGGAAGAAGCGUAGUCUUUGGAGAAAACAAUGACUGAAACCCUGGAUCCUUGAAUGGCCGUCAACAAUGCCUCUGAAAUUUCAUCUCCUCUUCGAAGCUUUUCGCUGUCUAUAAAAGUUUCGAUAUUCUUUCGAGACAAAUGUUUAUACAGAUGACUCACGAAACCAUCACGGGUAUCCUGGCCUCUGAAGCUAAGGAAAACAUCGUAUGUCCUUGCUUGGAUCAUAUCAGCAGCAGUAGCAGAAGAAGAAGAAGAAGAAGAUCCAGAAGCAAGCAUAUCGGUGUUCCACCGGAUUUGAUGAAAGAUUUUUGAAUUAUGAGUAAAGGUAUUGUUUUUUGAGUGAAUUACCCUUAGAAACUUGUAGGCAGAGUACUACUUUACACUGUACAUCCACUGCAAAAAUAAAGUUGACCCUUCCUUACAACUUACAAGUUAAGUAAAAAAAAAAACAUUUUUUGAUACAAUUUUUUAAAUAUUAUAUUAUUUUUAUGUCAAAUGAUAUUUAAAAAUUAAAAAUAAAGUUGAGAAAAAAACAUUUAAAAGCCUAAAUCAAUAAUUAAUGAGUUUUAACUUGUUAGAGUUGUGUGACCUAAAUUUUAAGAGAUUGCUUAUAAGUUAAGUUAAACAAACAUAUAUUUUCUUUCUAGAAGAUUUAGUAUUUAUUAGUAUAAUAUAUUAAGUAUUUAUUAGCAUAAUUUAUUUGACUUACUAAUUUAGCCUAUAAAUAGACUCUUUUACAAUCUUAGAAAAAUACACCAAUUAAACUAGAACUCAUAACACAUUUAGAGAAUUUUCUAUUUACGUUUUCAGCAUUCAUUAUUUUUCGGGGUUUAGCUUUUAUCUCCAUCUUUUGUACUCUUUGUUCUUUUGUCAUUAUAGUAAAAUUAUCUUUGCCCCUGGUUUUUUAUCCUCUUUGGAGGGGUUUGUUCACAUUAAAUUUGUGUGUUCAACUUCUCAAUUUCUUCUACUAUUUUUACUUGUUCGUUGCUUAAUCGGGACGAUCCUAACAUAAAAAAUAUAUUUUGAUUAAUGAAUUGGUUUAUUUCAUAAUAAUUUUUAUUUUAAUAUCUCAAUUUUAUUCCUACUUUACUCGUGUUAAUUUUAUUUACACAUUAUAUUUAUCACAUAGUGUUUUUUUUAAGAAUAUAAUGUUUAUUUAUAUAAAUUUUUAUACUACAUCAAAUAAAAUCAUUUAUAUUAUAUAAAAAAAAAGAAUAGUAGCAUAUAUGAAAAUUUUAAGUUCUUCAAUAGCUGUUUAAAUUUCAAAAUACUUUCUUUUUCUAUUUAUAUUUAAAAUGAGUUUUUUUUUAAAUAAGUUUUAAAUUAUAUAUCAUCAAAUUUAUUGCAUAUUUUAUAUUAAAAUCAUCAAAUCAAAAUCAAUAUUUAUAAUACAUAUAUACGUAUAUUGGUUUCCUAAAAUAUAGCAAAAUUAUCAAUAUCUGUUGAAAAAAAUUUUGAGAAACUAAUCUAUUUUAUUUUUUAAAAUUUAUCGAUCUACAUUAUUUUUGGAGGGAGAAAGGAAAAUGCGACCUACAAGGCAUAUUUUCACUGAUCUGGCAGAGAAAGCGUGCACUGUAAGACGCGGUUUCUUCUCAUCCAAAAAACGCGUCCUACGUGGUGCAUUUUCACUACUAGUUCAGUGAAAAUGUGCCUUGUAGGACACGUUUUCUGUCCAACGAAUUUUUUCUCGUUUUGAAAUUAAAAAUUUGUAAAUUUAUCCGGCAUUUGAGAUAGACAUUGUUAUAGUUCUAAGAUAUGUUCGAAUUGCCUAAAUUUGUUUUCACUGUAAAUUUGUUUUCACUGUAAAAGACACACACACUUACACAAACCAUAUACAACAUUAAUUUACUAAAUUUUCAUUUAAAUCCUUCAAGAAUUACAAUGUUUGUAGCAUGACCCAAAUUAUUCAAAAUCCUUAAUUUAAAAACUUAUGUACAUUGGUGUGUCAUUGAAAGCACCAAAAAUAAUAUAUCCCUAUGAAAUAACGAAAAGAAUAGUAUAAGUGAAGUAAGGUCAAAUCCUCAGGGACUGAAUUGUUACAACUUCUUAUUCCUCAAAAUCCUGGGCAUAAUCGUGCCUAAGAAAAUCUGCGUACCUGGAAAAAAAAGAAUUAAAAAUAUGGACGAGUUGAAAUUGUGUAAAUUGAAAUUGUAAUUGUAAAAAGAAACAGAAUUGAGAAACGAGAUUCUUCGAUUUGAGGGUUUCUAGCCCCCAGUUAUCUCGAUCCUUAUUGGGUUCAAUCCUAGGCUUUUAAGUGAUCCUUCUCAUGAAAGAAUAAGCCAGUUAUAGUGGAAGAGGACACCUACGACCACCAGCUACAUCUAGAUUUUAGACUUACGAUUUAGAGGAAGCUGACUCUAGCCAACCGUCACUUUCGUGGGACCGUCUUACACUAGAUCAUUGUUUCUCAAUAGCGAAUGCCACGCUAUUUCGUCUCUUGGGCUCGACAACCUUUGAUGCUGUAAGUUAACGAAUAGACUGUGCCACCUUCCUAAAGCAUACAAAGCUGCUGCCUUUGCACAAUAUGAAAAGAUCACUUUUGCAAGGAUAUGGACGGAAGCAUCAGUCGCGUAAUGCGAAGAAACGAUGAAUACUCGUUGAGAAGGCUAAGGGCUAGUUUGGCAAUGCUUUUGAAAAGUGUUUUUGAAAAGUGCUGUGAAAAAGUGUUUUUGAAAAGUUUGGUUUAAAAUUUGAGUGUUUAGCAUUGCUAUCAAAAAGUACUUUUGAGAAAUAAAAUGUUUAUUUUAGACAUGUUAUUAUCAAGUAACAAAUAUGCAUUUAAAUAAUAUUUAUAUUAGUUAAUAUUAUUAUAUUUUAGUAAGAAUAUAAAAAAAUUAUUAUAACUUGUUGUUAAUAUUUUAAUAUAUGAAAUAUAAAUUUUAAAUAUUUUUAAGCAAUAAAUAUUAAUUAUUUAUAAAAUUUAGUUAGAAUAUAUAAACUAUAUUUUAAAUAUUUAAAUAUAACCAUUAAAUAUUUAUAAUUAGUAUUUUAAAAAAUAUUUUUUAUUUUUAAUUAAUGAUUUUAACAGAUUUGUAAUUAAGCACCAAGAAAAAAAAAGGAAAGUACUAUGUUAAUGGAGAGGUGAAAAAGUAAUUAAGCACCAAAAGUGCUUUUAGUAAAGGAAAAGCUAAAAUUUUUAGCUUCUCCUUUUCAGAAGUGCUUUUGAAAAGCACUUUUGAAAAGCGAAAAAUUCCAGCCAAAAGCAGCUUGUUCUGCACAACUUUUCUUCCAAAAGUGCUUUUAGAGUCAGAAGUACUUUUUUUAAGCAAUGAAGAACAUGCCCUAAGUGCAGGUUCUAAGCCUCAUGAACCUUUUUUUGGGAACUCGACAACCUUUGGCUAGAUAAGUUUAGUGGCUUAUGUUUUUCGAGAAAAAAGAAAUAAGUUUAAUGAAAUUUUAUUGAAAAAUAAAAGGAACAAAAAGCUAAGAGCUUUAGGGAGAGGGAGUUUUCACAGAAAAGAUGAGUGAAUAUUUAUGUCACUCCAUUCCCUAUUUAUAGUAUACAAAAAAACCUAGUUUAUUCCUAUUUAAACUCUAAAAAUUAAAUAAAAAUACAAGCUGAAAUUAAAUCUAAAUAAUAAUCCUACCAAUAAUCGUAUUAAAAUUUAAAUUUAAAUAGAGUCUUAUGUUUAUAAAUCUCUUCUUUGACACUUUGUAUUUUCGGCGCCACUUAUUUAUUAUUUCACAUGUUGACCCAAUUUGUCUUUAAAUUCUAGCUUUUCGCCCCUAAUUUUUUUUUCCUUCAAUUUAGUCCUUACAAGAUAAAAAAAAACCACAAACAGCCCAAAUUAGUAGCAUCAUGCUUAAAAAAUAUAUAUAUAUAUAUAAUUAAUACAUAAAAAUAUGUCAUUUCAAAGUAUUAUCAUAGAUGCAUCCCAAUUGUAGUGAACAAGAUAUGUAUAUUUUAAAUAAGUUUACAUUACGAAUGUAAAACAAAGUAAACAACUUCAAAAAAUUACAAAUAGACAUAAUCACCAAUCCUUCAAAUGUGUGUCACAACCGGGUACACUUAGGGUUCUGUCACAUUGUUUAGGUUGACGACUCCACUGGGACUUCGGCCUGGUCUUCAUGUAUAGUAACAAGUUGAUCUUCGGCCUUGUCUUUAUGUAUGCGUCGGGGUUAAUUAGUGACCUCAUCUCCUCCCUUCAUUGAUGAAUGCGACUGUGUCUUAGCUGACCGCAGUGCAUCCCCCUAGUCAAGUUGAUGUUUGAGGGGACGACCCAACUUGAAAGAAAAAUGAUGUUGGAGGUGUUUGUAACAUUAUCGGUGGGACAUUAUAUGGUGUUGCAUGGGGCGUGUAAUAUAAUGUGGGGGUUGGCGAUCGUGAAAAAAAUAUCCCUGGAAACGGUGUUAGUACAGGGAAUGAUUAUGCGUGUUGUGGUGCUUGUGUAAAAUAAAUAGGUAAUUAUUGUAUUGGUGCAGGGAAUGAAUGUGUAUGCUAUGGUGCUAAUGUAAAAUAAACGGGUAUAUGUUGUGAUGAUGGUGUAAAAUUAAAUGGGUUAGUGACAGGAAUAAAUGAACCAUAUUGUACAAGAGGUUACACGGGAAUCGGGUUCGCGUAUGCAUGUGGAGCAGAUGUUAACCCAUCAAUAGCAUGUCCUCCCGACCUAUGAUUAAUGGGCCCUCGUCUUGGCAUUCUAUGACAAUGUUCCUUACUUUUUUCUACACCUGAUAGUAGAUGCAGCUUCCUCUGACUGAAUCAAUCCAUGUAAUCCGAAGAAGUCGCCAACUCUGACAUCAAAUACAGUUCAUGCGCUAGAAAAUAAUCUUACCUGUGCUGCGACAUCUCAAUAUACUUCUUAUGGAAUGUUGUCUAAUCUUCAUCCAGUCUCCUCCGUAUGUCGAGCUCCUGAGGUUGUGGCAGAAUACGUUGCAUACACCCAAACUGCAGCAUCACUUGAUUGGAUUUGUGCAUCUUAACCGUUAAAAAAAUUACCAAUGGUACUUUCACGUGCUAGAUGCUACAAGUCACCAAAAAUUCCUCUUGAACGGACUCUUGAAUCCUUGUAUCCACAUAUAGCAUCCAUACGAAUUACGUAUGAAUUUAUAAAUUUCAGUAAGUGUCUAAUAUGUAAUUUCAAACGGUGGAAUAACAAACUGAUAACUAUGAAAUUCAUAAACUAACCUCCUCCUCAGUUUCUUGAUUUAAAUCUAGUAGGAUGUCCCCGAACUCGGUCGAUAUACCGAUGUGGCUUACGGGGUUGUUCCGCCUAUUCAAAAAAUAUGUUAUUUCAAAAUUACAACAAUAAAAAUUCCAAAACAGUAACAAUAUUAUGAAAUGAAUUUUACCAUGUUACAAGUGAGAAUUCGUAAGGGAAUUGCACUCGGCGGCGUAGAAACGGUAGUUGAUACCAUGCCUACGAUUGAAGAAAGAGCAUACAACUGCCUAUUUUAGCUUUUUUUGGUAUUGUCGCUUGACACAUUUCUUGGUACAAUGUCGCCAGCACUAUGGAUCCCCAACUAAGUUGUCUCGCUUCUCUCAAGUCGGUAGUAGUAGUAGUGUAACGCCCUAAAAUUUUUGUUUUUGUUUUUAUUUCUGUUAAAAUGUGCACAAAAUAUGUAUCUACUUCAGUGGUUAAGUGUUCUAGGUAUGUGUGAGAGGUCCCAAGCUCAAGCUUUACCUUUGGAAAAUUUUGAUAAUUUUCUUAUCUAAGCCUUGUGUAUGGGGAGUAGGCUUAUAUUUAAUUAUUGGUAGAAUCAUAUCAGAAUGGGCCUGUUGGUCUGGUGGUUAGGUUGGGUGUUAGUUGGCUAGAGGUCUUGUGUUUGAAUUCCUACACGAGCGUGGGUAUUAUUUUUACUCAGUUAUUAGACAGAAUUUCAGUUGAACUAAAAGUCGAAGGAGUAGAUUAGUGGGAAAAAAUCAAGGGAUGUGAUCAUAUUUUAUUUAGACUUUUAUUUUUAUUUUUAAUUUCCUCGAAUAUUUUCCAUCUUUUGACGUUUUGCUUCUCCUUUCCCCACUGAAAUUUCUAUGCUUUUUCCCCUCUUCUUCGGUUGUCCGAAUUGUUUCCUCUUUGUUCAACUGUUAUGUGCACUCGCCGAUAAGUAACUAUUUUUCAUCUAUCUCUUUUUUUCGUAGAUAGUUUUUUAAAAGAGGUUUGUGUUUGGUUCUCUUGGAUUAGGCGAAGGUUAAGAUUUCGAGGGUACUCUUGCAGCGAUUUGAGCGUUAAAGGUUUUUGUUUGCUAUCGGUAAGUUUAUUAAUACGUUAUUGAUGUUGUGAGUUCAUAUUCGUGGAAUUUUUCCGUUAAGGUUUCGAAGAUGUUACUGAAAUUGAGUGUUAUUAUGACAAUAUUUAGGCUUUAAAAGGCUCAAGAGUGAUCUCGCAUCGAAUUGAUACCAGUGUAUACCUGAAAACGCAAAAAAUAAGAUUCGACGAAAGCUGAAAAACCUCACUGUCGACGCCACAUGGGCGUAUAGGGUAGGCCGUGUGCGACAACACUUUGUGUGAUCGACGAAGGCCAGGUCGUGCGCAGGACACGGCCGUGUGAUGGUCGAGGUAUGGUUGUGUGGGCCAUACGGGCUAAAUUGACCUGGGUGUGUAGGCCCAUACGGGUAGUCCACACAGGCGUAUAAAUUUUGGGCCAGGCCAUGUGAUCCACACGGGCUAAGGCCAAUCUAGGCGUAUGGGCCACACGGGCGUGUAGGCCCACAGGGGUAAACUACAUAGCCGUGUAAGCCCAUUUAGCUAAAAUGUUUCCUAGGGUUGCACGGGUCACCCGAGUCGAUUGUAAACCUACUUUAGGGUUAGUAAGUGCUACUUAGACCCUAAAUCGUUGAACUGAGCAUACAAUGUAUGUAUUCAGCAUGCUAAAUUUAUGCAUGUUUACUGAUCUAUAUGUAUGACUGAUAACUGAAUAUUAUCAUAUAAGUAUGUACUUCUGUAUAUCUACAUUGAGCAUGUUUAGUUGCAUCUGCAUUAGAGUGGGAUGGUUGAUUAUUGGAGGAAUUGUACUGAAAGGCUUUCAUGCUUAUUAUCUGGCAGCUCAGCUGCAAUAUUACUGAUAAGUGCCGCAUUCAGUACGACUUGGAGUGUAGGGCUGGGUGGGUGUUUUAAACCCCACAUGGUGUAUAGGUGAUGCGGUCGUUGGAAGCACCAAAAAUAUCCUAUCCCUAAUAAAUAAUGAAAAGAAUAGUAAAAGGGAAGUAGGGUCAAAUCCUCAGGGACUGGACUUGCAAAAUAUCUUGUUCCGUGAUAUCCCAGGCAGAGUCUUGCCCAAGACAACCUGCGUUCCUGAAAAAAAUAAAAACAAUAGCAGAAUUAAAUUGUUGGAUCUAGAAACGAAAAAUAAAAUAAAAACAGAAUUAAGAAUAUUUAAUUGAAAAUUCGAAAAAUUAAAAAUAAAGUUAAGAGAAAGAAAAUUCUUAUGGGAGAUUCCAGCCUCCAGUUGUCUUGUUCCGCCUUGGGUUCAAUCAUCGGCUUUUAGAUGAUCCUUCCCAAACCAAAUAAGCCAGUUAUAGUGGAAGAGGACGCCUACUACCACCAGCUCCAAUGAUUUAGACUACGAUUUGGUGGAACCUGACUCUAGCUAACAAUCGCUUCUGUGGGAUCGUCUUAUGCUAGAUCAACGCUUCUCAAUGGCGAAUCCCACGCCAUUUUGUCUCUUGGGCUCGCCAACCUCUGACGCAGUAAGCUAACGAACCGACUGUGCAACCUUCCCAAAACAUACAAAGCGGCCGCCUUUGCAUAUGUUGAAAAACUUACUUCUUAAGGGACUUGGACGGAAGCGUCAGCCCCGUAGUGCGGAGAAACGAUGAAUACUCAGCGAGAAGGCUAAGUACGGAUUCUUAGCCUCAAGAACCUUUUUGGGGAUUUUUGACAACCUUCGGCUAGAUGGGUUUAGUGGCUCAUGGUUGUGGUAGAAAAGAAAAUAAAUAAAAUAAAAAUAAAGAUUUUUUUGAAAAGAAAUAUGAAAAGAACAAAAGCCUAGACUUUUGGGGAGAGAGUGUUUACAGAAAAAGAAAAGAUGGGCUCCCCUUUUGAGUCACUUCACCCCCUAUUUAUAGUGCUAGGGGAGAUAUUCUAAUUCUACUUAAAUUCCUAAAAGAUAAAUACAUUUAAUUGAAGAUAUAUAAAGAUAAAAUAAAAUCCUAAAAAUAAUCCUUAAUAAUUAUCUCAAUAUUAAUUAUCCUAAUAUAAUUAAAAUAGAGUUUAAUAAAAUAAAAUCUCUUCUUUUUGCAUUUCAACCCUUGUGUCCUCCAUGCUUGCACUUUUGGCACCAACUUUUCCUUGUGUCGCACAUUGGCCCAUUUUAUCUCUAAAUUCACGCUUUUGGCCCUUAAUUUCACUUUUGCCUCAAAUUUAGUCCCUAUGAGAUAAAAGAUCAUAAAUAGCUCAAAUUAGCAGGAUCAUACUCAGAAUAAAUACAUAAUUAAUACAUAAAAAUACGUUAUUCUAGAGUGUUAUCAAAUCCCCCCUACUUAGCCCAUGCUUGCCCUCAAGUAUGGUUCCUAUCUACUGUGAAAGUUAGAUUCUGCCAUAAAAGAAAUACAACUCCAAAGUUUUAUAAAAAUCAGUCAAAAAUGCAUAUGAAAAAUAAAGAGAACCCUAAGCUUGCUUUAAGUAAAACAGAAAAAGAUUUCCAAUUAAUACACGCAAAAAUUAGAAUCAACUUGAAUUAUUUAAUGAAAAUUAGGUAAAUUACCAAACCUACCAAGACACCCUAUUUGUUUCCUCCUUUAGUCCCCAAAUUAUUUUUUUUCUUUUUUUUUUGCUUUUUUUUGUGUUUUUUUGUUAUGCUUUAGGAAUAUACUGAACCUUUUGACGCGAAGAGAGAUGACAGCCAAGCACCCCACCCCGGUUACUCAGCCCAGCAAACUCCUAAUUUAUUAUAAUUUUUCUUAAGAACACAUCAAACCUUUUGACGCGAAGAAAGAUGACAGCCAAGCACCCCUCCCCGGUUACUCAGCCCAACAUGUUCUUAAAAAUUAAUUCCGGUUAGCGGAGUUUUACCUAACACGUCACACAACCUUUUGACGCGAAAUAGGAUGACAACCCAAGCACCCUACCCCGGUUACUCAGUCAGUCACAUUUUUAAGCUGCACUCAUAACCACGGAACAUUAAAUGACAUUAAUAAUAAAUUUUUUUAUGAGGACUUUAGAGAAAUAAUAAUAAUAAUCAAGUGUCAAAAAUAAGUUUAAGUAAUUACCUUAAUAGUCAUCAACAUAUUUUAGCAUGCAAACAUAUUAAGUGUCCACUUUGUAUUUAAACUUGAUCAAUUUUACGAAAAGCAAGAUAAAGUUAACUUUAUGAAUCACAAUUAUUUUUACUCUAAUAAAAAUAAAACAGUGGAGAUGGCAUCAAUUAUGAAAAAUUCGUAAUUUUCUCAGAAAACAAGAAUCAUGCUUGUAGGUCAAACAGUAGGCAAUUCUUGGUAAAAAUCUUGGGCAUGAAAAGAGGCAGGAGAUUCCAAAAAAAAUAAAUAUGGACAAAAUAAAGCCUCAAGCAGAAACACCAGCCAAAAAUAAUCACAGCAACAGCAACAAUAACCAAAAUCACAGCAGAAAAUGAUAGUAAUAACGAAGAGUACCUCCCCCUACUGAAAGCACAUUGUCCUCAAUGUGGACGAAAAGAAAUAAAUAGGUAGAAAAGUUUAGAAAAACUCCCCAUGUGAUCACAAAUGAUGGCAAUGAGCUUGGUCAGUUGCUGGCCAAAGGUUUCAAGUCAGGCCUUAAUGCGCUUUAAGUGUUGCUUAACGGUUUGCUUCAUUUUUUUUUCUAAGCAAAAGAAGAAAAAUUGAUUAAUAUCCAAAUAGGUAAUAAAUAAUAAAAUAAAGUAAUAAAUAAAGUAAAGAAAAAUAAUAAUAAUAAUAAUAAUAAUAAUAAUUGGGUUGCCUCCCAACAAGCGCUUGUUUAACGUCGUUAGCUCGACGCCGUUAUUGGUUCUAUGGUGGUCCCAAAUAGAUUUUCUUAACCGUGUGGGCUUGAAAAUUCUCAUAAAAUGGCUUCAACCGCUGGCCAUUGACUACGAACCGCUUUCCAGAUUCUUCACUCUCUAUUUCAAUCGCUCCAUGUGUGAACACUUUAGUAACAAUAAAAUGUCCUUGCCAUCGUGAUCGAAGCUUACUCGAGAAUAACUUUAACACGGAGUUAUAAAGUAAAAUUUUUUGUCCUACCGAAAAAUGCUUCUGAGCUAUUCUCUUAUCGUGAAACAACUUUGUCUUGUCUUUAUAAAUGCGAGCAUUCUCGUAGGCAUCAUUGCGAAUUUCUUUUAACUCUUGAAUGUUUAAUUUCCUUGCCUUUCCUGAGGGUUCUAACUCCAACUCUGGUUCCUGUAUAACAGAAGGUAACAGUUUAGUAUUUGGAGAUAAUAACUCAUUAACAAAUUCAAUUUCAUCAAGUUCAGAAUUAUCUCCAUAAAUUGACUGAAAAUUUUCUUCCACCAAAGAGUCAAUUAUAUCGAUACGAUUUACGCUCAAGAUUUCGCUUGGAUGGCUAAUGGCGUCGUAGACAUUAAACUUUACGAUUUCCCCAUCAAACUCCAUCGUGAGAGUUCCACUUCGAACAUCAAUUUUAGUACUAGCUGUACUAAGAAACGGUCGACCCAGCAGGAGAUCUGAAGAUCCAGGAGUGCUAUCCUCCUCCAUUUUGAUCACAUAAAAAUCUGCAGGGAAAAUAAGCUCGUUAACUUUUACCAGAACAUCCUCAAGGACUCCUUCUGGAUGCACAACAGACCUGUCCGCCAAUUGAAUGAUAACACCUGUUUUUGUCAAAAAACCCGCGUUAAGUGAUUCAUAAAUAGAAUAUGGCAUUACAUUUAUAGAAGCCCCUAGAUCACACAUAGCCUUUUUAAUUCCCAAAUGGCCUAUUUUGCAUGGUAUUGCAAACAUGCCCCUAUCCUUACAUUUUGCCAGCAUUUUUCGCUGUAACACUGCAGAUACAUUCUCACCAACAUUCACCCUUUCAUUACCUGUUAAUUUUCGUUUGUUGGUGCAAAUCUCUUUAAGAAAUUUAGCAUACCGCGGUAUUUGCUUGAUGGCAUCCAACAGCGGAAUAUUGAUUUCGACAUUCCUAAAUGUUUCAAGAAUUUCUUUAUCCUCUUUACCUCUUCGACACUGGUUGAAUCGUUCUGGAAAUGGAGGUUGAAUUUUAGGCAAUGGAGGCUUCGAUCGGACCUGUUCGUCUUUUUCGGGUUUUUUCUGGGUAAUUUCUUGGGCAAGAUUCCUGUCAGGAAUUGGUUCCAGUACCUUUCCACUUCGCAACGUCACUGCAUUUGCAUUUUGUCUAGGUUUGGUUCUGUUUGUGACGGUAGCUUCCCUUGAGAAGUCAAUUUCUCAAUCGAUGUGGUCAACUCUCUUAUGGACGCCUCGGUUUUCUGUUGGAAAUCUUUCGUCUCUUUUUGGAAAUUAAGAGUUUGCUGUUGGAAAUCAAGAACAUUAGCUGCUAACUUAUUGACCAUGGUUUCUAGAAAAUUACCUGAACCUUGUGGCUGUUGCGGAAAUCGAUUUUGGUAUGGCUGGUUAUUUCGUGGAUUGGUCCCAUAGCUUAAGUUAGGAUGGUCCCUCCACCCUGGGUUGUAGGUAUUAGCGUAGGGGUCGUACUGCCUUUGUGGUUGCCCAGGGAAAUUUCCCACAGCACCCAGAUGGGCCGUGGUAUCAUCAUACAAACUGGGACAUGCAUCAGUUGCAUGAUCUGGUGUAGCACAUAUUCCACAUAACCGAGCUGUCUUUGUUUUUUCUGCAAUAAGAGAGUUCAUCAUAUUAGUAAGUCUAUCAACUUUAUCCUCUAAGGUUGAAUUACUUAGCUGAUGAACCCUUCUAGAGGGUUCAGUAUUGGCUCGGAACUGCUGAGAAUUUGCAGCCAUCGUGGAGAUCAAGUCUCUCGCUUGUUGGGGAGUCAUGUUGACCAAUGCUCCUCCACUAGCAGCAUCUACCAUAUUCAUCUCCAUGGGCUUCAAACCUUCGUAAAAGUAUUGGAGGAGAGAUUGCUCUGUUAUACCAUGUUGUGGACAACUUGCACACAACUUCUUAAACCGCUCCCAAUAAUCGUAAAGGGACUCAGCUUCUUUUUGCCUUAUUCCAACGAUCUCUCUUCUUAACUCAGCUGCUCGAGACGCUGGAAAAAACCUGUUCAGAAACAAACGAGAUAGAUCAGCCCAAGUUGUAAUAGAUCCAGGGGGUAAAUAAAAUAAUCAUUCUUUAGCGGAAUCUGCUAGGGAGAAAGGGAAAGCACGCAAUUUAAUCUGAUCCUCAGUUACCCCCUGAGGUUUCAUGCUAAGACAAACCAUAUGAAAUUCUUUCAGAUGCUUGUGGGGAUUUUCAUUUUGUAACCCACGAAAAGUUGGCAAUAACUGGAUUAAACCUGACUUCAAUUCAAAAUCAGUAUCCAUAGUAGGAUAUGCGAUGCAUAAUGGCGGUUGUUCUGUUGGAGCUUCGGCCAGUUGCCGAAUUGUUUGAGCCAUUGGUUCGUGUGCUAAAUUUGGGUUUUCGUUAACCCUAGCGUUAAGCACUUCUUCUGGUGAGUCGACUUCUACUUUUUCGCUUUCAAGUGUUCGAGUAGGAUUUUCGUUAACCCUAGACUCAGCUUCGUCGUCGACUUCAAUUUCUGGCAGUGGAUUACUUUGAGUUCCAACCACCGCUGACUGCUUUUUUCGUAACUUUGUCUCCUUGCGAUUGGCUCUAGCAGUCUUCUCAAUUUCUGAAUCGAACGCAAGAGUACCUGGAGCAGAUCUGGUCAUAAGAAACAAAAAACAAGAUUAGUACGUUGCCAGUCCCCGGCAACGGCGCCAAAAUUUGAUGCGGUCGUUGGAAGCACCAAAAAUAUCCUAUCCCUAAUAAAUAAUGAAAAGAAUAGUAAAAGGGAAGUAGGGUCAAAUCCUCAGGGACUGGACUUGCAAAAUAUCUUGUUCCGUGAUAUCCCAGGCAGAGUCUUGCCCAAGACAACCUGCGUUCCUGAAAAAAAUAAAAACAAUAGCAGAAUUAAAUUGUUGGAUCUAGAAACGAAAAAUAAAAUAAAAACAGAAUUAAGAAUAUUUAAUUGAAAAUUUGAAAAAUUAAAAAUAAAGUUAAGAGAAAGAAAAUUCUUAUGGGAGAUUCCAGCCUCCAGUUGUCUCGUUCCGCCUUGGGUUCAAUCCUCGGCUUUUAGAUGAUCCUUCCCAAACCAAAUAAGCCAGUUAUAGUGGAAGAGGACGCCUACGACCACCAGCUCCAAUGAUUUAGACUACGAUUUGGUGGAACCUGACUCUAGCUAACAAUCGCUUCUGUGGGAUCGUCUUAUGCUAGAUCAACGCUUCUCAAUGGCGAAUCCCACGCCAUUUUGUCUCUUGGGCUCGCCAACCUCUGACGCAGUAAGCUAACGAACCGACUGUGCAACCUUCCCAAAACAUACAAAGCGGCCGCCUUUGCAUACGUUGAAAAGCUUACUUCUUAAGGGACAUGGACGGAAGCGUCAGCCCCGUAGUGCGGAGAAACGAUGAAUACUCGUUGAGAAGGCUAAGUACGGAUUCUAAGCCUCAAUAACCCUUUUGGGAAUUUUUGACAACCUUCGGCUAGAUGGGUUUAGUGGCUCAUGGUUGUGGUAGAAAAGAAAAUAAAUAAAAUAAAAAUAAAGAUUUUUUUGAAAAGAAAUAUGAAAAGAACAAAUGCCUAGACUUUUGGGGAGAGAGUGUUUACAGAAAAAGAAAAGAUGGGCUCCCUUUUUGAGUCACUUCACCCCCUAUUUAUAGUGCUAGGGGAGAUAUUCUAAUUCUACUUAAAUUCCUAAAAGAUAAAUACAUUUAAUUGAAGAUAUAUAAAGAUAAAAUAAAAUCCUAAAAAUAAUCCUUAAUAAUUAUCUCAAUAUUAAUUAUCCUAAUAUAAUUAAAAUAGAGUUUAAUAAAAUAAAAUCUCUUCUUUUUGCAUUUCAACCCUUGUGUCCUCCAUGCUUGCACUUUUGGCACCAACUUUUCCUUGUGUCGCACAUUGGCCCAUUUUAUCUCUAAAUUCACGCUUUUGGCCCUUAAUUUCACUUUUGCCUCAAAUUUAGUCCCCAUGAGAUAAAAGAUCAUAAAUAGCUCAAAUUAGCAGGAUCAUACUCAGAAUAAAUACAUAAUUAAUACAUAAAAAUACGUUAUUCUAGAGUGUUAUCAAUAGGAAUGGUUGGAGAUGGUGUGUAGAGGCUGGUGGGUAGGAUACUAUUUUCUGUUACUGUAUGCAUACUGUAUCUGAUAUGGGUUAAGGCCCUAUUUUAUAUUUGAGACUGUAUCUGUAAUGGGCUUAGGCCCAGACUGCAUUUGAUUGAUAACUGUUGUUUGACUGUGUGCAUGUCUUCUGUGGGGAUUACACACUGAGUUUACGUAAACUCACCCAUUUUUUUUAUCUGCACAGGUAACCCCCAGACCUAGACGGACCGGUACGGCAGAGGACUUAACAGUGACCACAUGACUAUUGAACUAAUUUAAUUCCAUUUAAGGUUUUUAAUUCUUAUUAUUUUUGCGGUAUAUAUGAUGUAAUUUGGACUUUUGGACUGUUUGCUGUACUUUGGAUUUUAACUGUUUACAUGGACUUUAAACUGCAAACUUAACGAAAAUUCAGUUUUAUUAAUUACAAUGUUUUUCCUAACGCGAACAAUUUUUUUUUAAAUAUUACAGUUUUAAAAUCUUCUGCUACAGAAUAUGAUUUUAAACGAAUCAAAUUAACAAGAAAAUAGUUUAGGAAUUGACGAAAGAUAAAUAGAAGCUAAUAAACGGAAACAGUUUUAACUUGAUAAAUUUGAUUUCAAAUUCCAUUCCAUGUGACAUUGCCAGAUUUGGCCAUAACGUCUAGGCUAGGUUUGGGGUGUUACAAGUAGCCACAUCAACUGUACUAGAUUGUAAGAUUUAUCUAGCAUUAGCAGACCUUCAAUGAACUUCAAGCUGAAUGCGCACGCGAAUUGCUACUUUUCAAUGUCGCUCACUGAAGCAUCGGUAGUUUAGAAGUUGUCCUCUAACCAUCUCAUCUCCAUCCGGCUACCCCUAAACCUGUUUGGCACAUUCCCCAACAGUUGCUCAUAUGUUGCACUCCAAUCGGCACUAACAACUGGCCCCGUAAUGACAUCUACAUCGACCGAUAGACCUAGUUGUAAACUGACGUCCUCAAGUGUAAUUGUACACUUGCCGCAAGGAAGAUGGAAUGUGUGCGUCUUCGGUCUCCAUCUCUCGACCAAAGCAGUAAUGAGUAGGGGAUCCAAUUUAGUCCUCUAGAGCAUGCGAGCCGCAUAUAAAAAGUCUGCAGCUCGCACGUGUUCAUGAAUGGCAUCCGGUGCACCUUCGCUUAAGUUGUUUAUGUAUGUCUCCAAAAUUCGAUCUUUGGCCUGAGUAUAUAAACAUAAAAAAAAAAACUUAGUUUCUUAAAAAAAAAUUAAGCAUAUAUUGAUAAAUUUACCCUAAAAUAUUAUUUAAAGUAUACCACCUAUUUUCUCUUUAAAUGAAUUCAAUAUUAAUUACUCCCUUAAAUAAAUAUUAAACUUGAAAAUAUUGUUUCAUAUCAUAUCAAUAUAAAUAUUGUAUUAAAUUUUAAAUAUGAAAUAAAAUAAUUUUAAAAUUUUCAUUUAAAUUUGUAAAUCUUUGACAUAUAUUUUAAUAUAAUUGAUUUAUAUCUAUACCCAAUUAAAUUCACAAAAUCAAACAUUUUAAAAUAAAAAAAAUUUAUACCAUUCUAAAAGCGAAAUUUAUUAUACAAAUAUUAUUUCUAAAAUAUAAAGAACAAAGGUUAUAAUCUUUUUUUUACUUUAUACAUAUGGUUGAAUUCGUGGCUUGAAAAUACAAUCUAAAGAAAUAGAGGAGUAACAAUUGCUUUCUUUUUUCUUUUGUGGAAUUCUUUCAUUUUCCAUUUUAAAGACUUUCAUACAAAUUACAUAAGUGGGGUUAGGCGUCCCAGUACUAUAUAUUUGAACUGCCCAAAUGCUUCUUUUUUUUUUUUUUUUGUAAUAAAAGGAUUUUCUUUUAAAUUAAUUAUAAGAAUAAAUAUUAAUAAUUUAAAAAAUAGAAUUGAAUAAAUAAUAAACGGUGGUACUAUCCAACCCGUGCAAAUUUUACAUUUUGAAUUGUUUAAUAAUUACUAAGGGUUGGUUUAGUAUUACUUUUGAAAAGUGUUUUUAAAAAGUAUUAUGUAAAAGCGAUUUUGAGGAGUACUUUUAAAAAUUUUAGUUUAUAAUCCGCAAUUUUUUAAUUUAUUUGCAAUAUUUUCUCCUUGAAUUAUGUUAUUUUUGUUUUUAAUUAUAUUCUUUAUAUUAUAUAUUUUAUUUAGGGUUAAAUAUAAAACUAAUACCCAAACUUGUCUACUUCUCCCAAAUUAAUACUUGUGGUUUUUUUGUCCGAAAUUGGUAUUCGAACUUUUUUUCUGUCAACUAAAUCGGUAUCUGAGUUUAACACCAUUAAGUCUACGACACGUGACAGAAUAAGAUUUUGACACGUGUGAUGGUGAUGUCAUGGUGACAUCAUAAUCUAAAAAAUUAAAUUUUUUUUUGACUUUUCUCCUCCUAAUUUUUUUGUCGUUCUUUUUUCAUUUUCCUUAUUUCUUCUUCUUCUUGGGGGAGAAAAGUAAAAUAAAAAUUGAAAAUUUUUUAGACCAUGACAUCACCAUCGUCACAUGUCAAAAUCUAAUUCUACCACGUGUCAUAGACUUAACGACGUUAGACUCAGGUACCAAUUUAGUUGACGGAAAAAAAGUUCAAGUAUCAAUUUGAGACAAAAAAACCGUAAGUACCAAUAUAGGAGAAGUGGAUAAGUUUGGGUACUAAUAUUAUAUAUAAACCUUUUAUUUAUUAUUCAUCUAGGGAAUAAUUGGGAAAAAUAGCUUAAAGAUUAGUUUUGAAAAGUUUUUAUGAUUUUAAAUUUCAACAAUAUAGUUUCAUUAUUUUGGUCGUAACUUGAGCUACAAAUGUCUGUUUUGGGCCCAUAAUAUAACAAUUCAAAGGAAAUUGAAAUUUUUAGCUAAAAUUAUUUCACAACUUAAGCCCAAAAACGUCACAAAGACACUCAAAAACGGCCUUCAAGUUUGACUCAAAAAUUGUCAAUAUAUCUUGAAAAAUUCUUCUUUAUUUAAUUAAGAGCGCUUUUAUAUUUUCCUCAUUAUAUUAUUUUUGCCUUAUAUAUACACAUUAUUAUGUUAAUAUUUGGGGAGACUUAGAUUUAGUCUUUAUUAGUUGUAUUUUGUUUUCUUUAUUCUAUAGGUUUCCAAAUUCUCUUUUCUAGUAAAAGGUUUUAUCGAAAUUUAAUUUAAUAAACUUGUAAGACUUAUUUAUACUUUAAUUCUUUUUUGAUUUUUUGGUAUUCAUUGUAAGACUGACCUGACAUCAAAUGUUGUAGUUAUUUCAGUUUAUUUCCACACUUAAAGAGUUUGUUUUCUAGCCAAUUUAGUAUUUAAUAUUAUAUUUUCGAUCUUUAGUUGUUAGGAUUAAAAGUUAAUAAACAUCAGUGUUUUUAACAUUUUUUUAGUGUUGAUGACCUAUUAGGCCGACACAGGCUUUAGGUAGGGUUAAUUUGUGUAUUUAAGUGUGCAGGGGGCUUAAUUUUAGGCUCAAUUAACGUAAGAACUUGAGACAAGUGUUGCACAAACUUUCCAUGUAACAAUCAUAACCUGAUCCAGUCGUCAGACUCAAGUUACGGAAUACUACAGUCAUAAUCAAAAUAGAACACGUUCAAAUCACAUUGGUUAUCUCAAAUAAACAGAGGAUACUUCAUAUAUACAUAAUUAUUACUUAAAUUUAACAAAAAUCAUCCAAACAUAGUUAAUUCAAUUUUUUAUUAACAAAUACAUCAUUUCUCAUAUCAUAUACGAGCUUAUGUGUACUCCAAUACCAUUCAGAAUUUAACUAGGAUUAAUUUGCAAUAUUUUCAAAUAUUCAGUUCAAUUAUAAAUAAAAACAAUUCAGAGCUCAAUUUAAUCAUCAUAUAUCAAUAGUCAAUAAUUAAUCAUAGCAUAUUUGUGAAAACGAAACUUAAAUCGAGUCCACAUGACUUUAAAAAUAGUUUGGAAAUAAAUAGGGCCUAAUCUAAAAUAAAACAGAAAAACAUGGAAAAAAUUUGAAAAUAGUGGUCACACGGCUGUGUGAUAAAGCCCAGGCCGUGUGGCUUAGGAACAUAUAGUUGUGUGGCCAAACUAUGUACAGUUUUAAGUUAGGGGCACACAGUCAUAUCUCUAAGCCAUGUAAUAGCCUGAUGCCGUGUAGAAAGACCUAUGCCAUGUGUGGCAGACGAUCGUGUGGCAGACUGUGCCCCAGGCUGUGUGCAACUACAAUGACUUCAAAAACAAGUAAUUUCAAACUCCAUUUCUUAGAUAUCAAAUCCAACCAUUUCUAACCAUUUCCACCUAUUCAAAACACAUUCAAACAUACAAAAAACAUUCAACCUAAGUGUCUAAUAAAUGUACUCUCAUUGAUACCACAAUUCAAACAUUUAGAAUCUAACCCACUUACAUCAUUUCCUGCCUAAUAAAUGCACCCUCAUUGGUACCACAAUUCAAACAUUUAGAAUCCAAAUCACAUACAUCAUUUCCCAAAAUACAAAACAUGUAUCAAUCAAACAUUUCAUCACCUUAAACCACAAUAAAAACCAAACUUGAAAAGGUAGGGAUCUGAUGGGCGUUGAAACCACCAAAUAAAAAUAAUUCCUACAAUAAAAUAACUCUAAAUAGUAGUAAAGAGUAGUAGGGUUGAUUCCACAAGGAUUGAAUAUUAUGAUCAACUUUUGUGUUUUUUUCGUGAACAAAACUUUUUUCGUGUCGAUAAUCUUGGCAAUAGUCGUGCCCUCGACUCCAAAAGACCUACUGAGAAAUAAAUAGAUUAGGGGAGUUUCGAAAUGACUAGAAAUUAAAUAAAUGAAAUAGCAUAAAUAAAAAUUAAAUAAAUCGAAAAUAAAAUUAAAUUGGGAAAUAAAUUUGGAUUUUGUAAACAGAGUUAUAAAUAGAGUUAUAAAUUGAGAAAUAAAAUGUCUAAUAACAAGUGAAUUUGAACUCUUAGUACAUAUCACUUAUAACUUAAAUCCAAGUAACCAAAAUUUACAUCAAGUUGAUGAAUGGGUGGUGUGAGCUCUGACUUGAACUUCCACUGACAUAAUCUUUCGACUAUCUACAAGAAAAACAACACAACGGAUGUAAGCAAAUCAUUGCUUAGUAAGUUUGUAUUAAAAUUUAAAUUUAACUUACCGUAAAAGUUGUAACCUAAACAUUUUCACAAAUAAAAUUCAUAAGCAAGGUUAUGAGUUCAUUAUUAACCUAUAUGUUCACAUAUACGAAACUUAUAACUUUAUCAUGUCAUAAAACAUAUACAAUUAAACACAUUUGAUAUACUAUUAAUUCAACAUUUAUUCAUUUAACAAUUCACAUUUCUAUUUUAAGUGUUCAUUUCAAAUGUCCUUUCUUACAUAUCUAUCCAUAUAAAAAUUUCAUAUAACACUUCAUAUAAUUAUUUCCAUAUAAUCGAUUCAUAUAAUUAUUUCUUUUAUCUGUUUCUCUUUAACUGAUUCAUAUAACCAUUACAUAUAUCUAUUUCUAUAUAACCAAUUCUUAUAAUCAUUUCACAUAACCAUUUCGUAUAGCCAUUUAAAAGUGUUAACCUUAACACAAUAUGAUUCAACAAUUCCAAGUUAGCAAACAACAAUUAUACAGAUAUUUAGAAUUCAUAAUUUUGUUCACUUUAAUGAAAAAAAUUAGCUAUGUAAAUUUUUUAUUUUCUAAUGGAAUUUUGUAAAGAACUCAACACAAAAGUCUGGGAAACAAAUGAUUCUUGUAUGAGCUAAUCAAAUACAAAAAUAUAUGUGUCAGAUUACCCAUUUGGACUAAACCAGUGAUAACACAUAAAAAUAGCUUGGCCAAGGCUAUGUAUACAUGUAAAGUUACCCGUCAAGCUAAACUUUUAAAACAACAACGGAUUACCAGUCCAAGAUAAAUUCGUGUCACAUGUAUAUCGGAGUCUACAACAAAUGUUGGAGCUCUGUCCAGAACGAGAAUCAUACAGAAACUGUGUAUGAGACUUUCACUCGGUCCAUCAGAAUUAUCUCAGAAUUUGAUUUAUUACCACAUAGUCUAAUUUCCAAUUUCAGCAGUUUAUAUACAAUUAAUUAACAACAUUUAAUAACGAAUUGUAAUUAAGGAAGAUAGUAUGAACUUACCUAGACAAAAACGGUUGUGAAACCAAGGUCGGCAAUUAAUCCGUUAAUUUAGCUUUUCAACGAUUAGAGUCCGAUUGUUUCGUUCCUUGAUCUAAAUAAUAUUUUUCGUUCAAUUAAUCCAUUCAAACAUCAUAAUAUAUUGACAUUCAUAUAUUUGACCCUUACUCUUUAUUUUACACUUUUUACCAUAAACUUUAACUUUUUAUUCAAUUUAGUUCCUAAACUCUAAACAUUCAAUUCAAUCAAAAAUUAAUCCAACCAUGGCUAGCUAAAAUUUAUAUAAUUCCCAUAUAUCCCAUAUUCAUCAUAUUUUUACAAGAAUUUAAUAUAACUUUACUUUUUAGCAAUUUAGUCCUUAAACACUAAAAUUACUCACUUUACAAAAAAGUCAUGUUUAACAACCAAGUUUAUAAACCCAUCAUUAACAUCCAAAAACUUAAAAUAACAAUAAUGGAAACUAUUAAAAUCUACAACAAUUUUGAAAAUGGAGGUAUUGGUUAGUUGGACCUAGUUACAACAAUUUCAAAAACAUAAAAUUUAUGAAAAACAGAUAACAAGAUGACUUACAACAAUUUCAAAAACAUAAAAUUUAUGAAAUCUACAACAAUUUCAAAAAUGGAGUUUUGGGUGCUCAUUUCGGUGGUAGAUCAAUGAAGAUGAUGAUUCCUUUCUUUUAUUUAUUAUUUAACUUUUAAUUAUUAAUAAUUAAACAUAUUUUUAACAUAUAAAAUACAUACCAUUAGCCCAUUAACCGUCCAGUUUAUUUAAUUAAGGUUAGAUUUCCAUUUAAACUCUUGCACUUUAAAUUUUUAAGUCAUUUAACUAAUAAAAAUCUAUAGUGAUUGACUUUUGUAAUUUUUAUGAUUUAGUCCUUUUUUCUUAAUUAACUAUCAAAUAACCAAAAUUUUUGGACCAAAUUUCAAUACACCUAAGCAAUCACUCUGUAAAUAUUUGGUUUAUAGAAACGAGGUCCCGAUAUCUCAUUUUCCAAAAUCAUUUAACUUUAGGGACAACCCACUUGUAGUUAACUAUUCAUUCAAUAAGCCAAAAUUAUUGUAUCAAAAUUCAAUAUAAUACUAUAUUUGACUCGUAAAUAUCAAUUAAUAACAUUUAUGGACUCACUUGUCAGAUUUGUUGUCCCAAAGCCACUAUUUUUAACACAACUAAAAAAUAAGUUGUUACAUCCCGAGCUAGAAAGCACAAUCAAAACGUCCAAAGCCAUAAAAAGAUAGCUAUGGUGCGGCACAACCUCUACGUUGAGCCAUAACAACCUAUGCUGAGCCAUAGCUUGAACGUGGGUCAUAAGCAAUGAUGAUGUCAAUGACCAUGUUUAGCAAGAUUUUAAGAUACCAUUUAGUACCAAGCAUUUAUUAAUACUGGUGGCAUAAUGGGCAUCAACUGCACAUAUUUUAGCUUAUAAAUAAUAGGCUUGUGUACACAAAUUAGAGCAUCCAUCCAUCUUUUAGCCUUAAAUAGUUUUCUUUAGUUUUAGUUUUAGUUUUCUUCUGCUGUAGUUGGAAGAUCUUCUUCCAAUAUGAAGACAAUUGCGAGCGGGGAUUGCUUCAGAUCUGCGCUUUAAUAUAUUUAUCAAUGAGCAUUCCCUUUACUCUUCUACUUUAUUCUUUUAUUUAUAUCUCAUUAGCCUGAUCAACUAAUGUUUGUAUGAAUUUUAGAAUAAUUACUGUGCUUUAUUUAUAUCUUGCUUGAUUCGUCUAUUUAACUAAUUAAUUCAUCAAGUCGAUUAAUUAACAAAAUAAUAAAGAUUCAUAACAGGGUUAAUAAUAAAGAUUCAUAAUAGGGUUAGUUGGUAUAGAUACACGUUAUAAAACUCUAGGUGUGACAACCCUAAGAAAUUAUCAUAGGGGAGACGAGAUUGGAAGAUAAGUCGAAUCGAGUAAAUCGUAGUCUAUCUUGAUUGAGAAACUGAGGUCGGGAGGUAAUAUUAGUUAAUUAAUAGCUAAUUCAUAUUAAAACCCAAAUCCUAAAAUUAGUUAAUAUUCUUUUUAUUAAUUGGGAUUUAAUUAAUCAUAGGCAAGAGGCUUGCAAUGUGAACACUAGGAAUAAGAAAGUCGAUUAGGUUAAUUUAGAUUUAAUAAUUUAAUUAGUUUAAUAAAUCUAUUAUUUUGGACUUACACUACUAAUUCAUGACCGAAUUAGAUUAGUAAUUAUUUUCUGUAAUUAAUUUAAUAAUAAUUUUUCCAAUAUUCAACUCCUUGGGUAUGAUACUCGGAAUACUUACCAAUGUUUCUUUGUAAACUUUACUAUAUUACAAUUUGAUCCGUACACUUGUGGACACUGCUGAUUUAAUUAUAUAUAUAUUUUUAGUGUGAUAUUUUUACUAUAAAUGAUAAUAUGUUUAUAGGCAGUCAAGUUGUUACCGCUGUUGAUUACUAUAAAAUAAUAUUAGUCAAAGGAAAAACGAGUUAUAUAGUAUUCUAACUUUUAUUCAACUAAUUAUAUUUUAUAUUUUUAGUGUGGAAAAAAUAUAAAAAAUUAUUAUUAAAGAAAAAAUUAAUAUUUUUGCCUACCUUGUUAAUAAUUAGAUUUAGUCAUGAAUAUUGAUUUUUAUAAGUCAGUGUAUGAGUUAUCUAAAUUGAAUUAAUUGUACAAUGGAAUCGAGAUUACAAAGGUCAACAGUCUGAAUGUUAGGAUGAACUUCCACCUAAACUAAACAAGUAUAUAUCCGAGAACGAGGGAUAUUCGACGAAUCAAAGGAGUUGGGACGCAGAAUGUGAUGAAAGAUUACCGGAUUAUGACUAAAGCUAUUGUUUUUGAAGUCAAUUACCCUUAAAGUGGUAGGCAGAGCACUACUUUACACUGCAAAAGCGUGUGGGACAUCCACAUUGAAAACAAUUGUACGACUUCUCCAGCAAAUUCAAAGUCUAGUCCUUAGGAUUUGGGAACCAAUUAUAUUGUUUUUUAAGUCAAUUACCCUUUAAAGGUGUAGGCAGAGCACUACUUUAUACUGCAAAAGCGUGUUGGAGUUGGACAUUCACAUUGAAAAUAAUUGUACGACUUCUCCAGCAAAUUCGAAGUCUAGUCCUUGGGAACCAAUUAUAUUGUUUUAACCUUCGUUCGCAUGUUAAAUAAAUUUCUUUUAUAUUUAUAUUAUAUUUUAAUUCAAAAGAUAUUUAAAAAUAAAAUUAAGUAAAACAAAUUAAAAUUAAACUUAAAUGAUAUAUAAAUAUAAUGAUUUAUUUAACCUUCUAACUUUAUAAAAAAAAUUAUUUUAGUAUUUUAUUUAUUUAAAGUCUCUGUUAAUCUUUAAACUUGUGAUAAUCGUCGAAUCCCUUCAAAAUGAAUACAACAGUUAACUUUAAUUAACUUGAAUAAAUCAUUAUGCUAAAUAUAUAUUUUGAUUUCAUAAUAAUUUUAAUCUUAAUAUCAAGACUCCAUUUUAAUUUUAUGAAUUGAUGAAAGAGUAAUGGGAAAUGAGUAAUGUCAAAAAAGCUUACAUCUUUUGAAAACUAAGAUUAGGUUUACAUUUGGUUGUUUCUUAGAAACUUACCCUUCCUACUGAAAGUCAACUUUGUGAACAGCAUAAAAUAAUUUUAAAUACUUAUAUUUGGGUCUUUAUAUAUUUAAAACAAUUUGAGUUGUUGCAAUAUGUGAAUAUAAUUAAUUAAAUUUGUAACUAUCAAAUAUGCUGAUUUUUUUUGUAUAAUUAUUUCUUUUUGUAUAUAAAAUAUUAUAAAAAUUAAUAAGUUAUUUUUAAAAAUUAAAUUUAUGCUUAUAAUUAUAAUUAUUAUAUUUAAAAAAAAUCCACUUAUUCUAAUAAAAAACCUACACUUUCAUACAUCAACCUAAAAUUAAACCAAACAUUAUAAACUCAAACCGUACUGAAUUCAUCAGUUCAAAUAUAUAAUAAUUAUAAAAAAUAAUAAUAUAAAAAACUUGACAUUUUAUAAAAAAAAUUAAAAAUAUAUAAUAUUGCUUUAAAACACAACUAGAAUAAAUCCAAAUAAAUUGGAGUCCAAGUGCACUUGAAUCUAGACAAAUAUUUGUUUAGAUUCAUUCUUAAUGUUAAAUAAUUUUAAUAUUUUUUAUAAAUUUAUAUAUUUUUAAAUAUUUUUAUUUUUAUUAAUGCUUAUGGUCAUGCGUUUUGGUUGCUGGUUUCACGUCAUCACAUUUUAACAAUAUUGGAGUAGUAUGAAAUUGAAUCAAGGAAUUAAGUCCAAAAAGAAUUUUAAAACUCUUCGGUUGAAAAAAUAACUAAGCUUGAAGCAGGAUUCAGCUUUGAUAGUUGAAACUUUUAGGUGGUUGUACCUCUGCCUCGUCCUUUGCAAAUGAUACAUGAACUCCGCAAUGCUUUACCUCACAACAAAUGCAGUGAGACCAAUCCCCCUUGCAAACAAGAGGGUAGAAUUUAAACCAAACCAGGCCUCAUUUGUUUGAUGCCUGAGUUUCCACAAACCGACUAACUUCAGCAUUGUCAUCACAGAAAUAAGUGAUCCCACCCAACCAAUUGGUCUCCAGGGAUUCGUCUCUGAAGCCCAAAAAUAUCAAAAAGGUACAAAAAAGGCCCUUAAAGUUUGACGUGAAAAUUACUAAGAUAUUUGUUUCAAAAAAAAAAAAAAGAAAAUUACCAAGAUAUUUGAAAAUUUCUGCUCUAUUUAAUCAAGAACACUUUUAUUUUUUUUUAUUGUAUUAUUUUUGCCUUAUAAGGUUAAAAUUCGGGAAGAUUUAAAAUUAAUCGUUUCUCUCUUUUCUAGUCAAAAAUUUUAUUGAAGUUUGAUUUAAUAAAUUGGUAAGACUUAUUUAUGCUUUUAAUUCUUUUUUGUUCUUUGAUAUUUAUUGUAACAAUUUUUAUCCGAAUUUAUAGUUAAACUCAGGCAAAGAAUUUCGAUUUCCUUUCGGCACAAAUUUUUGUAGAGCUGACUUGUGGAACCAUUACGAGUAUCCUCGCCUCUGAAGUUAAGGAGAACAUUCUACGUCCUUGCUUUGAUCAUAUCAGCAGCAGCAGCAGAAGAAGAAGAUGUUGAAGGAAGCAUAUGGGUGUUCCGCCGGAUUUGAUGGAAGAUUAUUGAAUUAUGAGUAAAACUCUUACAUUUGGUUCUUUCUUAGAAACCUAUAGCCAUACUUCCCACUGUAUAUCAACUGCUCAAGCGUGUGGGACCUUGACCAUUGAAAACAAUUGCACGAGCCUCCAACAAAUUGAACUGAAAGGUAAAUUACACCAGUUGUUCUUAUAGCUUAGCUUAAUUAAUUUUCUUCAGAUUUACUUAACUGUAUUUUAUUUCCAGCUUUUACUUUUCACGUUUUAUUUUUCUUAUUUAUUUCAGAUUCCAGAUUUUCAAUUCUAUCCUCCCCAAAAUUUCUUGGGUACCACAACUGCCCAGACACAAAUCUGGUCGAGAAAUAUAAACAAUUUCAGUAAACCCAGUCUUUGAGGGAUCGACCCAUCUCCCUAUACUGCUUAAAUUGCAAAUUAGGCGUACGUUUAUAUUGGUGGAUUCGACACCCAUCACCUUAACUUUUGAUUAAAAUUAUAUUUCAACUAUUCAACUUUCAAAAAUUAUAUAAUUGUCACUGAAAUUAUCAAAAUAUUACGAUUUUUUUUUAUGAAAACCCCUUAGUGCCAUUAACUCUUCCUGAUCCAAAUUUUAAUGCCGACACGUGGCAUAAAAUGAGUGGCUGGAAAAAUUCAAAUGGGAAAUUAUGAAAUUAAUAAUGUUUAAAUUAGUUUUAUAAAAAGAUUUAUAAAAAGACUAACGCCUAUAAUUGUGAUAUAUUUGAAUUGGUUUGAAAUAAGAUAGACUUUUGAGUCAAUUACCCGAAUUCUUAUUUUUGUAAUAACAAUAUUUUCAUCAAAAUUAAUUAUAAAAUGUAUAUACUUUUUUAAUGCUUUUCUUAAAAAAAUUUAAAUAAAUAAUAAACUCGAAUUUUUUGAACCGGGUCAGAUUGAUAUAAAAAUUUGAGAAAAAAUAAACAUUAAUAAAUAUCACUUACAAUAAUACAAUAAACUCAAUGAUAAAUACGUAAUAUGUUAAAUAUUUAAUAAACAUGAUCAGGGUUUGAAAUUCAGUAUAGAUGACAUAACAAAAAUGAGGAUGAAGCAUCACUCAGCUCUCAUACUUUGAAUCCUUAAUUUCCAAAAAAUAGAUGAACCCCGCACUGUUUUACCUCGUAUUCUAAGGAAUCCCACCCUACAAUGUAGAAAUGAAAGGAAGCCACAUUGUAAAUACGGUUGUUUGAUGCCUCACUUUUAACAAUCUCCCUAACUUUGAAAUCAUCAUAUAAGACGAACAAGCGAUCUGACAAUCCGCUUUCAAACCAAAAGGAGAAAGAACAGGUAAGGUCUUGAUUAUCGCCAUUACAGGAUUUUAGAUGACAUUCACAUUCAAUGUCGAAUUCCAUACCAUCAUAAGAGUCUGGGAUUGAAACAACAACGGAAGCAACGAAACAUGGAAAGUUUAUCCUGCUAUUAUUAGAGCACCACUCUGAAGGCAAUUGGAUGUUUAUGGAAGAUCCUAAGCUUUUGAAAUCAAACCAUUCCGGAAUUUCACUUCCAGGGACGCAUGUAAGAAUCCUAAUUCUUCUUUUGCUUUCUGGGGGUGCCUGUUUAAUUACAAUUAUUAGAAACAUGAUUGAUUACUCAGCAUAUAGCUAUCCAUUGUUUUCUGAUAGCACAUUAUAGUUGUCCUCAGGAAUCCACAACCUACUGCGUUUUUCAAGUUUUAAAGUUGAUUCAUCGCGUACAUAAAAACCCCUAACCCUUAUCCAUCACAAGAAUAGGAUUUCGUAGCAUUACUGAACAAACACAAUCUAAAUCAUUAGUUUCAAACAUUUCAAUAAUCAUAAUAUAAUUCAUCAUUAAACAUGCAUAACAUUAUUUUUUAAAAUCUAACAUGUAUUGAUUUCCUAAAAAUCAAUGAUAAUUUUUAAGUGGAUUUAUGAUGUCAAUGUAAUUAAUAACAUUAUUUAUACUAAAGAUUCUAUCACAUAUAUUGAUAUUAUGAUUUUUUUGAAAUCUAACUCAUUAUGAUUUCUUUUAUUUAUUAAACAAAAAGUAAAAAUUAUUAAAGAUUGUCUUGUAUUGAGUUUUGAUGAAUUGACCUUAAAUAAAAUUUAUAAUAAAAAAACAGAUAAUUUUUUAAUUAAAUUUACUAAUUGAAUUUUAAAAAAAAUUACAAAAUAAAAGUUUUACACAAGAUUAGAUUGGUUUGUUUUAAUACUAUUAGUACAUUGAACAAUUUAUGCUUGUGAACAAUUUCGAUAUAGCUUUAAUCAUGAACUUGGACAUUGUUGUUGAAUUAUAUUUCUAUCAACCACAUGAUUAUGGUUUGUUUGUUCAGAUUAUGUGUUUGCUUAUUUCUAGUUAACUAAAAUUUCGAUUAUGUCAUUAGCUAUAUUCUUUUAUUGAAACUUCAUUUUUUUUAAAAUUAUAAAAUUCAUGAGAUUAUAAUUUUAUCUUUUUAUAGUUGAUUGGAUCUUAUUUUCGUUGACAUUAUUUCUAUUACAACAAUAAAAUAAAAUUAACUUUUUAAAAAAUUAAGCUUUAAAAUAAAAAAAACUUGAACAACCAUAAAAUUAAGAUUUAAAAAGAAGUACUAAAACCCUCAAGAGAAUGAAAGUUCAGUACUAACUUGGGACUAAAAGAAAACCAUAAAUACCAACUACAGGAAAAGUGACAAAUUCAAAGGCUAAAUGAAUAAUUAAGGUUAUUUACACAUGCAUUCAAUUUCUAUUUGUGUUUAAACAAUGAUAGAAAUGAAAACCAAGAUAUAAAAUUUUGAGCCAAAAAUAAAGAUGAAUAGAAAUCUCUUACAAUUAUAAAUAAAACCAAUAAUAAUUAUGUUAAAUAUUUUGUAAACAUAUUUAAGUUCUGAAAUUCAGUAUUAAUUAUGAGGUUGAAACAUCAUUGAGCUGUCACACUUUGAAUCCUUAAUUUGCAAAUAAUCGAUGAACUCCGCACUGUUUUACCUCGCAUUCUGAGGAAUCCAGCUCUUCAAGGUAGAAAUUAAAGGUGGCCUCAAUGUAAAUACGGUUGUUUGAUGCCUUACUUUUAACAAUCUCUCUAACUUUGAAACCAUCAUACACGAGGAACACGUGAUCUGACAAUCGACUUCCAAACGAAAAGGAGGAAGAACUACUAAAGCAAUCAUUGUCACCGUUACGGGAUUUUAGAUGACAUUCACAUGUAAUGUCAAAUUCCCCACCAGUAUAAGAAGAGUCUGGGACUGAAACAACAGCAGAAGCAACGAAACUUGGAAAGUUUAUCCAGCUAUUAUUAGAGCACCACUCUGAAGGCAAUUGGAUGUUCAUGGAAGAUCCUACGCUUUUGAAAUCAAACCAUUCCGGGAUUUCACUUCCAGGGACGCAUGUAACUAUGAUAUUUCUUUUUUUGCUUUCUGGGGUUGCCUGUUUGAUAACAAUUAUUAGAAACAUGAUUGAGUAUUCAGCAUAUAGCUAUCCAAAAGAAGAAGAAGAAGCUGACCUGAUGAUAAUCUUUUAGUAGAGUCACCAUAUGCUCAAAUGGCAUCUCCAACUUUGGUGUUUCUGGACCGCUUGCAGCUUUCUGAUCCAGUAGGAAGCAGUUCGUAAAUAGCCAACCCAAGGAAUUACAAAACAAUGCUUGCUUCAAAACCUUCUUAAUGCCUGAGACUUCCUCUAGUGAAGUGUUGUCAUCUGCAUCUAUAUCAUUCCCCACACCUUUGUCACCCAGUUUGAAGCAGUUGCUAAAAUCCAAAACCAAACUUUGAUAUGGUCUGUCAUGACAAAACAGUGCUUGCUUAAACAGAUUCUUAAUGCUUGAGAUAUCCUCUAAUGAAGUACAGUCAUGUGCAUCUAAAUGUUCCAGGCUUGGUGGAAGCUCUGGUAAUGAUUUCAGUCUCUUGCAAUUCCGCAAGAUUAACUCAUGCAACUGAAAUUGUUUGAUGGUUGUGGGCAAGUUCUCAAGAUUGCUUUCAGAUAAAUCUAACUGCUUCAUAGAGGAUAACCCAUGGGGAUCUUUCUGAUUCACUAGUCUGCCUCCAACCGUAGUAAACAAGUUUUUAACGAUUAGAUUUGAACGACCACAAAGACUAAGACACAAAAGAGAUUUCAAUUUAUAAAAGCUGUCAGGAAGGCAAACAAGGUUUUUACAGUUGUUCAUAUUCAAAUGCGUAAGACCAAUAAGAUUGUCAAUUGAGGAUGGUAAUUCCUUCAAAGCCGUUCCACUUAAAUCAAGAUCCUUCAACCACUCCAUGGUGUCCAUGACUUCCGGGAAAAUCUCCAAUCUCGAGCAACCUGUAAGAUAGAAUCUCGAGAGAGAUUUCAAUUUAUAAAAGCUGUUAGGAAGGCAAACAAGAUUUUCACAGUUUUGCAAUGUCAAAUCCUGAAGACCAAUAAGAUUGCCAAUCGAGGAUGGUAAUUCCUUCAAAGCUGUUCCGCUUAAAUCAAGUUCAAACAACCUCUCCAUGGUGUCCAUGAUUUUCGGGAAAAUCUCCAAUCUCGAGCAACCUUUAAGAUAGAAUCUCCCGAGAGAUUUCAAUUUAUAAAAACUGUCAGGAAGGCAAAUAAGGUUUUCACAAUUGUUCAAUCCCAAAUACUUAAGACCAAUAAGAUUGGCAAUUGAGGAUGGUAAUUCCUUCAAAGCCGUUCCGCUUAAAUCAAGUUCAUACAACCUCUCCAUGGUGUCCAUGAUUUCCGGGAAAAUCUCCAAUCUCAAGCAACCUGUAAGAUAGAAUCUCUCGAGAGAUUUCAAUUUACAAAAGCUGUCAGGAAGGCAAACAAGAUUUUUACAGUUGUUCAUAUUCAAACGCGUAAGACCAAUAAGAUUUCCAAUUGAGGAUGGUAAUUCCUUCAAAGCUAUUCCGCUUAAAUCAAGUUCAUACAACCUCUCCCUGGUGUCCAUGAUUUCUGGGAAAAUCUCCAAUCUCGAACAACCUUUAAGAUUGAAUAUCUCAAGAGAUUUCAAUUUAUAAAAGCUGUCACGAAAGCAAACAAGGUUUUUACAGUUGUUCAUAUUGAAACGCGUAAGACCAAUAAGAUUGCCAAUUGAGGAUGGUAAUUCCUUCAAAGCCGUUCCGCUUAAAUCAAGUUCAUACAACCUCUCCAUGGUGUCCAUGAUUUCUGGGAAAAUCUCCAAUCUCGAGCAACCUUUAAGAUAGAAUCUCUCAAGAGAUUUCAAUUUACAAAAGCUGUCAGGAAGGCAAACAAGGUUUUCACAGUCGUUCAAGCUCAAAUACACAAGACCAAUAAGAUUGACAAUUGAGGAUGGUAAUUCCUUCAAAGCCGUUCCGCUUAAAUCAAGUUCAUACAACCUCUCCAUGGUGUCCAUGAUUUCCGGGAAAAUCUCCAAUCUCGAGCAACCAUGAAGACGGAAUGUCGUAAGAGAUUUCAAUUUACAAAAGCUGUCAGGAAGGCAAACAAGGUUUUCACAGUCGUUCAAGCUCAAAUACACAAGACCAAUAAGAUUGGCAAUUGAGGAUGGUAAUUCCUUCAAAGCCGUUCCACUGAAAUCAAGUUCAUACAACCUCUCCAUGGUGUCCAUGAUUUCUGGGAAAAUCUCCAAUCUCAAGCAACCUUUAAGAUAGAAUCUCUCGAGAGAUUUCAAUUUGCAAAAGCUGCCAGGAAGGCAAACAAGGUUUUCACAGUUGUUCAUAUGCAAAUUCUCAAGACCAAUAAGAUUGCCAAUUGAGGAUGGUAAUUCCUUCAAAGCCAUUCCACUUAAAACAAGAUGCCUCAAACUCUCCAUGGUGCCCACGAUUUCUGGAAAACUACACAGAUUUGAGCAGCCUAUAAGAUUAAGCUCGGUAAGGGAUGUGGCUUUGUAAAAGCUAGGCAGAGAUCUAAGAUUUUUACAAGAGUUGACAUUCAAAAGAGUUAGCUUCUCAAGAUGUUGAAGGGAUGAAGGAAGGUCACGCAAGUUAUAACACCAGCGAAGGUUUAUCGUUUCAAGAUUUGGGGCACUUGAGAGGUCCGGGAUUCUUAUAAGGUUCAGGGAUAAGUCGAGUGUGAUAACCUUCAAAUUUACUAAAUCCUGCAUGCAUCAGAAGAUAGUGUUUGAUAAACUUGUGUACAUUGAAGGACAAUAAUGCAACAGAUGUGACCAAAAUAUAAAAAAAGUGCAACGAAACAUUAAACAAUCUUCAAAAUGGUAUAUUUGAGUAGUGGAACCAACAAGUUUGAGCUCCAUUCCAACUCAUCGCUCCAAUUUUGUUUUCCUUUUAAAAUUCAAGGUCAAUUUGACAUAGAGGUUUAAAUUAUGGUGUUCCCUCGGUAGGCUCAUUAUUUUUCUAUAUGCGUUUAAAUUAUAAAUUAAUUAUUAUUUUAUAAUUAUAUUUUAGUUAAAAAAAUUAUUGAAUGUUAUAAAUAAAUUACAUAUUCCAUCCAUUGAUGUAUAUGAGCAAUUAGUACUGUUUACAAAAAUGGAUAUAAUAUUUUAUUUUUGAGAUAAAAGUAAAACUCAAAGUUUUUUACAUAAAAAUAUCCAAAAAAAAAACAAAGUUGAUAUAAACAGUUUGUGUGUGUCGUAAUAUUAUGAAAAAUUAAAUGGAAAGUUAAUUGAUAUUUGAAAUAGUUUAAACAAAAAUAUUAAAUUCAACAAAUAAAUUUGAACAAAAUAAUAAUCUUAAUCAGCAAUUAUUAAACAGAGGGUUUAUUUUUAUCUUUCUCUAUUUCAACAUUUAUUAGUACUAUAUUAUAUAUUACUAUUUUAUAGUUUUUUAUCUUUUGAUUAUGAAAUUGCCAUAUGUUAUUAUAGAAAUAGAAUUUUUUAUCAUUGAGUUUGGUCAACCAAUUAUUCAAUUAUUGAUUUAAGCAGAUAUUAGAAUUUUUUUGUCAUUCAUUAUGCAUAAUUAUUUUCAAAUUAUUAAUCUUUUAUAUUAUGAAAUUUACUAACAAUACUUGUUAUAUCAUUUUAAAUUUUUUUCUUUACUCCAAUAAUGAAAAUCUAAUAAAUUUAAAUUUAAAUAAAUUAAUAAAAAUUAUAGAUUUAAAUUUGAUCAAUUUUAACAUAAAUUAAUAUCAUGUAAACUCUAUUUUUAAUUAUUUAUUAGUUUAACAAAAUUACAUAUAAUAAAAUAUUUCUAGGAGUUUAGUAAUAUCAAGGAUUCUAACUGAAUUCAAUUUUUUUCCCAAGCAUAAACCUAAUAAAUUAAUAUUAUAACUUCUUCUUUUUAUGCAAAAAUAACUUAAAUAUAUGAAAACAUAACAAGAGGGUAGAUUGAAACUUUAUAUAAUCAAGAAAUGGAAAUGGAAUUAGUUCCAAACAUGCUUGCAUCAAUCUACAAAACACCUUACAAAACGAGUCAUAGAUUGACAUCCAAAGAAAAAAGAGUACCUGUUUUCCCUCCCAGAGUUGUUUGACAUUGCUACGUCUCAUAUUAAGUUCAACUAGGUACCUUAGAUCAAACUUGGUGGGCAAAGAUCUCAAAGGGUAUCCCUCCCAGUAAAGGUACCUUAGCUCCUCAGGAAAUGAUAAAAGCCCUUUAAAAAGUAAGAUUCUUCCACAAGAAUGAUAGAAUUUGAGAAAUCUUAGAUUUCGC